rnacentral:lncRNA from 1 species
UCAUUUUCCGGGAUGUUCGGUGUCGUGUUUCAGAGAGUUUUGGGACACCCUAAAUGAGAGCUUAAGUGUUAGAAAGUUGACCGUAGUCGAAACAGUGAGAAGACGGCCUCAGAAUGGAAAUCUGAUGGUUUCAUUAGCUCCGUUAGGUGAUUUCGUGCUUAGGGGCGUGUUCGGAUUGUGUUUUGGAGGUCCGUAGCUAAUUUAGGCUUGAAAUGCCGAAAGUUGAACUUUUGAAGUUUCCGGUUCGAUAGUGAGAUUUUGAUCCGAGGGUCGGAAUGGAAUUCCGGAAGUUGGAGUAGCUCCGUAGUGUUUAAUGUGACGCACUGCAAAAUUCAGGUCAUUCGGACGAGGUUUGAUAGACGUUUUGAUCGAAAGCGUAUUUUUAGAGUUUUUGGAAUUCUUAGACUUGAAUCCGAUGAAAAAUAGGUGUUUUGAUGUUGUUUUGACCGUUCCGAAGGUUGGAACAAGUUUAAAUGAUGUAUUAGGAUUGGUCGGCAUGUUUGGAUGAGGUUCCGAGGGCCUGGGGGAUGUUUCGGAUGCUCAACGGAUCAUUUUGGAACUAGAGAAAUUGCAGAAAAAUUUGCAGCAGCACAGUUCUGGUUUCCUUUUUUGCGUUCGCGAGUGGGGUCAUGCAUUCGCGAAGAGGAGCUGGGGCUGGUGUGGAAUUUACUCUUCGCGUUCGCAAAGGAGCUUACGCGUUCGCGAGGCUGUAGGACUUGGUGCCUACGCGUUCGCGAAGUUAGUCUCGCGUUCGCGUAGGGGAAGAGAACUGAACAUCGCGUUCGCGGCUCAGGCAUCGCGUUCGCUUAGAGGGAGACUGGCCAGUGGAACGUGCAUCGCAUUUGCGAUAGUAGCCUCGCGUUCGCGAAGAAGGAAAUACCUGGGCAGAAUAUAAAAUUUUAAAAUCGAGGGUUUAGCCAUUUUUAUCAAAACUUAAGCUUUGGAGCUCGGAUUUGAGCGAGAUUUUGAGAGAUUUUUAGAGAUAUCGAUUGGGUAACGAUUCUUAACCCCUUUUUGCUUGUAAUCCAUUAAUCCAAACAUGAAUUCAUCAUUUAAUUUGAAAUUUAUAUGAAAAUUUGGGGAAAGCUCUUAGACCGAAAAUUCAAGUUUUGAUUGGGGAUUUGACAUUGGAUUUGGAUAAGUUUGGUAUGGUUAGACUCGUGGGUGUGUGAGGAUUCUGGAAAUAUAAAUUUUACGCGAUUCCGAGACGUGGGCCCGAGGGGCAUUUUGGUUAUUUUACCUAGUUUCGCGUAUUAGCCUAGNNNNNNNNNNNNNNNNNNNNNNNNNAAAUAGAUUUGGGCCAUUUGGAGUCGAGUACUCGUGGCAAGAGCGUGGUUUCGGGUUGAUUUUGAGCGGGUUUGAGGUAAGUGGCUUGCCUAACCUUGUGUGGGAGACCUUCCCCUUAGGAUAUGAUAUAUUUGAUAAUUGAAAUGCCUUGUACGUGAGGUGACGAGUGCGUACUUGAGCUAAUUGUUGAAAAUCCGGCUUUUACUUAAGUAUUUCAAUUAAAUUCUUUUUUUUUUCUGUUUUAUUCUACUUGUGAAUUUAGCCUGUUGCUAGUUUAGAGAAGCAUGUUUAGUCGACUUAAUUGCCUAUUUGCUUAAACUGCCUUAAUUGCAUUACAUGAAGCAUGCUAUGCUAGAAUUAACUGUUUACUUGGCACGAAGUUUAGCUUAAUUGGGUAUUCUUGUGUUGCUGCUGUGUGUUUUUACUUUGGGACUACGGGACGGCAUCCCGGGAGAUCCCCUAUACGUAUUUAUGAUCUGAACUGAGGUGCGGGAUACCAAGAGAUCCCUGGCACGUAUAUUGAGGAUACCAAGAGAUCCUCGGGAUACCGAGAGAUCCCUAGCAUAUAUUGAGGUACCAAGAGAUCCUCGGGAUACCAAGAUCCCUAGUAUAUAUUGAGGAUACCAAGAGAUCCUCGGGAUACCAAGAGAUCCCUAGCAUACAUUGAGGAUACCAAGAGAUCCUCGGGAUACCAAGAGAUCCCCGGCUAUCAUCCUUGCUAUGAGUGAUACUUCCUGAUGUUUGCCUUUAUUUCUGUUUCUGUUAUUGUACUCCUUGUUAUCCUGUGUAGAUUCUUACUGUAGAUUCUAAAUUGUACUGUUUAUCUUAUCCAAUCAUCUUAUUAUUUAUUUAACCUCAGUAGGGCCCUGACCUUCCUCGUCACUACCCAACCGAGGUUAGGCUUGGCACUUACUAAGUACCGCUGUGGUGUACUCAUGCCCCUUCUGCGCAUGUUUUUCAUGUGCAGAUCCAGGUACCGCUACCCAAGCCUAUCAUCCUUGAGGAGGCGACUGCUCUAGAGACUUCGAGGUACAUCUGCCGCGUCCGCAGACCGAGAAGUCCCUUUCUAUUCCUACUUUUAGUAUUUAGUCCUUCUGUAUUUUUCUGUUCUUAUUAGACAUUCCAGAGUUAGAGCUAUGUUGUAUUGAUCUUAGCUUAUGAUUCGUGGGUUUUCGGGUCUUGAAUAAAUGUUUUGGUAUUGAGAGUUAAACGUGGUGUAUGCCGAGCGGUACAUUUAAACACUAUUACUGCUUUAUUUCUGUUUUAAAUUAUUUUGCUUCCACAAAUUUUGUUUUUCUUCCAUAAUUUAGGAUUACCUAGUCAUAGAGACUAGGUGCCAUAACGAUGGUUCACGGAGGGAGAACCGGGGUCGUGAAAGAUUUAUUUAAACGUGCCUAAAGCAAACUAGGAUAUUCAUCCGUUAUUCAUGAUUAAAACUAGAUUUGGGAUUAUUUAGAAGGUCAAAAGAUCCGAAAAUACUUUGUGUUGAAGAUAAAGGGUAGAUGGAGGUUUAACAAGUGUGUGAUUCUUUAGAAAAUUGACUAUUAAACAUUUGGGAGGAACAAUGCUUUUGGACAAACGAGAGGGAGUAACAGUAUGAGUUAGAUCUUAAUUGAACUCUCGUGGUGGACCUCCAAUAGGUCAGCGUGCAAGCAAGGAUACGUUAAAAAUAAGGCCCAAGACCUCUUAGCUUUUUCUGAAAUGUUUGGCCCUUUUGACAUCUUUACAUGCCAUGGUUUGGCCAGUGAAAUGGGUUGGUUAAACCCAAUUCAGCAUUCUACUUUAUACCUAGCAAAAUAUUAAAUCUAUACGUCCAUAACCCAAGCACAUAGGAAUAAUUUGAUUACAUCCAUAAAGAUAUCAUAGGCUACAGGAUUGAAUUCAUAGAAUCAUGUUGUUUAAUUUGUUACAAAAUGAUCGCACGCAGAUAUUUAGAAUUUUUGAACCCCAAAUCUACAAGGGCAUAAUUCCCUAGCCCAACAUAGUAGAAUAACACAAAUGAUGGACUGAGCAUUACCAGGUCCAAUACAUGUAAGAAAAUAGUUUUCAAAGUCUUACUUUUCAGAGAAUCAACAUUAAUGACAUUAUAAUUCAGUUUUGGCUUGUAAUUAAAUACAACAGGCUAAAAUUUUAAAGGAAAUGCUUAUUAACUACAAGCAGAUGCGACAAUUAAAUUUUUCAGUUCUGAAGUUUGGAAUCUAAUGCUUCUUAACCAUAUCUGCUCGACUUUUACAAAAUAAAACUAUAGACUUAAUCUAUUACACCAAUAUUUUUGCAAAUUCUGAGUUAACAAUAAUUAACCAUCCUUUAUACAUACUGGACUUAAGUGUUGUUACCAAACUAAACUGCUUCUUCUCAUGUCUUUUGGAAUUAGACAAUUUAAUCUCAAACAUCCAGGGCUUUAAUAAAUAAAUCACAUAUAAUUUGAACUUCCCAAAUACUUUUGACUGCAAUGUGAUGCUUCUCAUCUUUACACAGACAACAAAUGUGCUUAUAGGCUAAAUGAUUUUGAAAACAUAAAUUUCAAUUUUAUCAAGUAAUAUUAAGCAAAGUAAUAGCCCUACGAAUGUAGUAAGACAUACUUAUGCUUCAGGAAACCAAACUUAACUAACAAUCAUACUCUAGCUAAUAUUACCAUUUUGUUUUAUCUAAAACAAAGACUAUGUCAAGGAGAUAAGUUCAAGUAUCGACCAAUCAACUUACAAACAGACAUAAGAUCAUGUAAGAGCAACAAACAGUCAUAAAUCCAUAUUAAAACAGAAAACUUUGAUUAUGCUAAAGAUCAGAGUUGUACAGAAUCAUAGGAGUGUACCUAAUUGCCAAGAAAAUAGCAGAAAACCAGAAAAUAAGUCUCUGAAUCAACAGGAAUAUCAACAAGGUAACAACUUCAAAUUAAGAGCAAAAAUCCAGCAGCUCAACCAAAGGAAAAACCCAUAAAAAACAAGUGAGAACCUGAAGCAAAACUGACUCUUGUUCCUUAUUUUUUUGCUUUGAAGAAUUUACAAAGUAAAAUUUCAGACUGUUUUUCUUUCAACGUGAAGGGAAAAUCAACCUAUAUGUGUGAGUGCUUUUUGUGUGUCUUGCAGAGAAUUAGUGUGUGUAUGUGUGAGUGAAGGAAUGUUAGAUCUUAUAUAGGAAAAGAUGAGGGAAUAACUUUGGGAAAUGCAGUCUCUAAAAAUAAGGAGAAAGGGCAUCUUUUAAAACUGAAUUAGACAGUAUCCAUUCAGAUAUUUACUCAAAAAAUUUCAACACUUUUAUCUUCUGAAAUUAACCCUUUUAACCCCAAAAUCUGAUCUAAUCUCUGUUUUUUUAUUGCAAUUUAGUCUCUGCUAGAGACUUCCUUAAACAACUGAAAAGGAUUCCAUAUUUUCGAUGCCCUUUAGCCUCCUUAAGUUUCAGUUAAUACCAAUUAGUGCCUUCUACCCUAACUCUACUAUCUUCUUUCAAUAAACAGAACAAUGACUACUAAUCAAACACUAAUUGAUCUAAAUUAAAAUUAAGUGAUCAAAAACAACAAACUAGCUAACCUAUCAAUUAAGCACAUAUGUAAUUUCAACAAAAAACUUAUUAACAAUCGACUAGAAUUCAAGUAGGACUAAGUCAAACAGUUAUUUAGAAAGCUAAAAUAUUUUUAGGCGAUUAGCUAUUAACCUAGGCAUGCAGUGAGAAACUAAGAGAAAGGAGAAUUUAUCAGAAUGAGUGAGAAAGACAAGAAAUAAAUUACCUAUUAAUCUUUAAGAGAAAGCGAACAUAGAAUUCCGACGAAAAUUCGACGACCAAAUACGGCUUAGACCAAAAUGCAAUCUCCGAGAUACGAUGUGAAUCUUACAUCAGUAGAUAGCUUUUAUUAAGAGCUUUCAAUUGAUGUAAAUUUCAAACAUAAAUAUGGUGAAAUUGGUCGAGUAUUUGAAAAGGGGCAAGAGGCUAGGGUUCAAUUUUGGAUUUAGAAUUGGAGCAGUUUGGUCGUAUUGGGGAAAUUGGAGGUAAGUUUGUAUUGAGGAUGGAGAGAGGAGUAUAGGGUGUGAAUUUGAGGGGGUUUGGAGUGGUGUCACCAGAGAUGAUUUUUGGGCGGCUCGGGUUUAGAUUCAUGGAUCUGGAAUUCUUCAACAACCAGAGGGUUUUGAAUGGAGAAAUCAAAGGAUUUGGAGAGGGGGGGGGAGGUAUUUGAUGAAAUUUUGAGGGUGUUUGGAGUGCCGCCGCCGCCACGGAGCGAUUUCCGCCGGCGGCGGACGACAGACGGUGGAGGUGAAAGAGAGAGGCGAGAGAGUUCUGAGAUUGUUCUCUAAGGUUUUGGGGGGAGGGUUCUGACAUUUUUAUGGUAAUAGAAAGUUCAGAUGUGAGCCAUUAGUUUACAUUAGAUCAACGGCUGAGAUUCAACAAGGAAAAACAUGGUCGUUUGGUAUAAUAAGGGGGAUGGACCGGUUUUGCAAGGGUCUGGGCUGGGGGUGGAUGGUUUUUUGGGCACUUGGACAGUUGGAUCAUGUCUUUGGCCCAAUUUGCUGAAAGCUAAACAAAUCCUCCCUUCUUUCCUUUGAUUUGAAACUUAAACAUGCCCACAAAUCCUAAAUUAAAAUCUAUUUUUGUAUAAUUAACCAAUUCCUCUACUUACUAAUGUUAUCCUUAAUUAAAAAUAUAAAUCAAACCAAAUAACUAAUUAACUAAUCCUAAAAAUGACCAUUGUAUUUUUGUUGUUGUGAUUUUUAUGUAUUAAUUCUAAUAACUAAAAUGCAAUUAAACCAAACAUGACAUGGAAUUAAAAUAUGACAACUUUUAUGAUUUUCUAUGAUUUUAAAAUAUUAAAAUAUGCAUUAAAAUGCAACUAAAUACAAACAAUCAAUUUAAAAGAAAAUCCUAAAAUCCUAUAAAUUCAAAAACAAACAGGAAAAAACUAGUUUUUGUGGAUUUUGUUGGAAUGUUUCUUGUUGGGCAAAAAUUACGUGCUCACACUGGAACUAUACAAAUUAAAUUGGACAAGUUACGUAAAUAGCUAAGAUUGCACUAGUGAUGUAAAGACCCUAUCUUCAUCUCAUAUUUAAUCAUGUAUGUCCUUAGUGGACUGUAUUCAAAUCAAAUCAAAGCAUCACAAGUCUACACCAGAACUAGAAACCAAAUUACGUACAAGAAAUUUAGACGAAGAAAAUAGGUAAACGGACAGUAACUAAUAGGUAUCUGUCGCUAAAAACCAAUUUUCUUUAUCUAUCGACAAUUGGUCAAACAAUGUAAGCUAAUUUUCACACAUGUUUCUGAGGAAAUAAAUGUCAUAUUUUUCACAUUUAGUGAGGUUGGGAAAUAGUAGCGACUCCACACUAAACCUGUUAAACGAGUCGGGCCAGGCCAUUGAUAGCCCGAUUUGAUCCGGAUUAGCUCGGUCCGAUGGGGGUGAGACGGGCUGGGGAGGGUUAGGAGUGGAGCCGGACGGGGCGGGCCUAUUUUGGUAACAGUACCCCGGAACCCGGUUAGCCCAGUUAUCCAUUAUCGGGCUACAACCCGCUGCAGCCCGGUUGCCGUUGAACACAAUUUUUUUAUUAUUAUUUUUUUGACCAUUGCCAACGGUCAAAUUCGAAAAUGACCGUUGGGCAGCGGUCAUUUUUUGCACUUUUGGCCUUUUCGGCCUACUCCCUUAAGAAAAUAGCCCCACCCUAAUAAUUGACAAAUUACAAUUUUAACCUGUUAAAAACUAUAAAUAGCCCCCCCUUCUUCUUUAUUUUUCUCACAAUUUGCUCUCUUGCUACUCUAAUUCUCUCUUGAUAAUAUUGCUUAUUACUCUCAAGUUCUCAAGUUUCAUCAAAUAUUUACUUUAGUCACUACAAAAUUAUAUAUCAAAUAUCAAAUAUUCAAGUGAAGUUUGGUAUCAAUAUUCAAUAUCAUCAAAUAUCAAUUGAAGUGUGAUCAAAUUUAGUGUGGCAUCCGGAAUCCUGGUACACUCACUCCAUCUCUUUCUUUUCUUUAGUGUAUAUUUUUAUUUUAUUAUUUAGAAUUAUUAAUUUUAAUUUAAUUUACAUAAUGGAUAUAUUUAGAGCAGCCAAAAAGCACGUACUAGUAGGGGUGGUAGUAGUAAGAGUAAAAAUCCUAAAAGAGCAAGAGGUGUUACUAGUUCUUCUAGUAGCUUUACACAUAUUUCUGAAAGUUCACCUGAAAAUUUAAAUGUAGAUUAUGAGCAACUUCAAGAAGAUUAUGGUAUAGAUGAUAAUUUAGAUGAUAUUCAAUCACUUGAUAAUCUUGAAAUACCACUACCUACACCUGGUACUGCUAGUUAAAAUACUAGGGGUGGAGGUCAUGGUAAUACAGGUAGACCUCCCCUCCCUAUUAAGAAGAAUAAAAGAUUAAGAGGUAAGUGUUGGGACUUUUUUUUUUGAAAGACUAGAAGAAGAUAAAAAAUAUGUAAGAUGUCAAAUUUGUAAGGAAGUUUAUAAACAUGAGACGAAGGUAAGUAGGGGGGAACAGGUCAACUUCAUAGGCACAUGGUAGAUAACCACCCUAUUACAUGAGAUGCUGAUGAAUAAAGUGGCCAACAAAAACUUAACCCGGGUACUGGCGGUUAAUGGUAAAUACGAUAUAGUAAAAGAUCGGGAAGAAUUAACUAAAACAAUUAUUUUAAGUUGUUUACCUUUUAGUUUUGCUGCUUCACCAUAUCUUGUUACUUAUAUUCAAAGAAUUUAUAACCCUUUGUUUAAAGGUAUUCCUAGAAGUAAUUGUAGAGCUGAUAUCUUUAGGCUUUUUAGACAAUAUCAGAUAUAUAUCCGUUAUUUGUUCGCCAAUCUUUCUUGUAGAGUUUCUCUUACUUCUAAUAUUAGUCGUGCUGUUAAGGGAAAUGAUUAUUUGACUGUAACAUGCCAUUGGAUAUAUGANNNNNNNNNNNNNNNNNNNNNNNNNNNNNNNNNNNNNNNNNNNNNNNNNNNNNNNNNNNNNNNNNNNNNNNNNNNNNNNNNNNNNNNNNNNNNNNNNNNNNNNNNNNNNNNNNNNNNNNNNNNNNNNNNNNNNNNNNNNNNNNNNNNNNNNNNNNNNNNNNNNNNNNNNNNNNNNNNNNNNNNNNNNNNNNNNNNNNNNNNNNNNNNNNNNNNNNNNNNNNNNNNNNNNNNNNNNNNNNNNNNNNNNNNNNNNNNNNNNNNNNNNNNNNNNNNNNNNNNNNNNNNNNNNNNNNNNNNNNNNNNNNNNNNNNNNNNNNNNNNNNNNNNNNNNNNNNNNNNNNNNNNNNNNNNNNNNNNNNNNNNNNNNNNNNNNNNNNNNNNNNNNNNNNNNNNNNNNNNNNNNNNNNNNNNNNNNNNNNNNNNNNNNNNNNNNNNNNNNNNNNNNNNNNNNNNNNNNNNNNNNNNNNNNNNNNNNNNNNNNNNNNNNNNNNNNNNNNNNNNNNNNNNNNNNNNNNNNNNNNNNNNNNNNNNNNNNNNNNNNNNNNNNNNNNNNNNNNNNNNNNNNNNNNNNNNNNNNNNNNNNNNNNNNNNNNNNNNNNNNNNNNNNNNNNNNNNNNNNNNNNNNNNNNNNNNNNNNNNNNNNNNNNNNNNNNNNNNNNNNNNNNNNNNNNNNNNNNNNNNNNNNNNNNNNNNNNNNNNNNNNNNNNNNNNNNNNNNNNNNNNNNNNNNNNNNNNNNNNNNNNNNNNNNNNNNNNNNNNNNNNNNNNNNNNNNNNNNNNNNNNNNNNNNNNNNNNNNNNNNNNNNNNNNNNNNNNNNNNNNNNNNNNNNNNNNNNNNNNNNNNNNNNNNNNNNNNNNNNNNNNNNNNNNNNNNNNNNNNNNNNNNNNNNNNNNNNNNNNNNNNNNNNNNNNNNNNNNNNNNNNNNNNNNNNNNNNNNNNNNNNNNNNNNNNNNNNNNNNNNNNNNNNNNNNNNNNNNNNNNNNNNNNNNNNNNNNNNNNNNNNNNNNNNNNNNNNNNNNNNNNNNNNNNNNNNNNNNNNNNNNNNNNNNNNNNNNNNNNNNNNNNNNNNNNNNNNNNNNNNNNNNNNNNNNNNNNNNNNNNNNNNNNNNNNNNNNNNNNNNNNNNNNNNNNNNNNNNNNNNNNNNNNNNNNNNNNNNNNNNNNNNNNNNNNNNNNNNNNNNNNNNNNNNNNNNNNNNNNNNNNNNNNNNNNNNNNCUAUAUUUUAUAAUCUUGCAGAAAAAAAUUUGUGUAUAUCAUUUGAUAAUGCUUCUAACAACAAAUCUACUAUUAUAAUAUUAAAAUUAUAUAUACACCCACCACUUCCUGAAAUAUUUCAUAUGAGGUGUCCAUGCCAUAUUUAUAAUUUAUUUAUUAAGAGUGACCUUGAAUUAUUUAGAAAUGAGAUCAUUUUAGUUAGAAGAGUUAUUGGUGUAAUUCAAUAAAAUAAUAGAAGUGAUAGAAAAUGCAUUUAAGAAUAAAUGCGUACAAUAUGGACUAAAACCAAGACUCAUGCCUGAAGAAAUAGUUACUUGGUGGUUAUACUUAUUUAUUCUUAAGAUGCUAUUAUAAAUAUAAAAUACCUAUAACUGAAGUUACUAAUUCUCAUUGUACCGAUCUUAACCAUUUGUUAACAUCUAGAACUUGAGAUGUCAUUGAAGAUGUUGUAAAAUCUUUACAAAUUUUUUAUGUAGCUACACUUGAGUUUUCUGGAGCUUAUUAUCCUAUCAUUGCAAAUAGUUUGCUGAAAUUUCUCUUUUACUCCAUAAUUUCAAGAAGAAAGGAGGAUAUAGUUCUGUUGUUGAAUAUAUGCUAGAUAAAUUAAAAAAAUAUUUCUAUCCAUUUCCCCCUAUUUACAUAAUUAAUGCUAUUUAAACCUUUUUAUCAAAAUGGCCACUUGUCACCGAUUAGUCAUUGUUUUAUAUGUUUAUAUAGAUAUUGGACCAACUGAAACCCCUGAUAUUGAAAUUUGUAUUUCUGAUCUAAACAAACAUUUGCAAACUUGUAUUUAUGUAACGUAAUGCUAGCUAGCUAUCUUGUUAAUUAUUUUCAGUUGUAACUAAUUCUCAUGUAGUUAGUUAUUAGUUAGCAUAGUUGUUAGUCUGUAGAGUUAGUGGAUUAGAUCGGACAACUGUCAAGUAAAUGUGUAUAUAAGUAGAUAGACACCCACACUAACUGUAAGCUUUUAUUUUUUCUACUGAUAUCAGAAAGUAGAGUACUUUGCACAAUCUCUCUUCCAUGUUCAUAGAUUCGAUCUCUGUAACUUAGCUAGGGGUUGAAUCCUAAAUCACUUUAUGGUAUCAGAGCAUGCAGCCACUAUUAUGAAGCUUUUCUACUAAAUUAAAGCCCUAAAUCGGAGAUCGGUGGAGAUAUCAACAAUGGUGGAGAUAGACAAUGAAUUUCUAGAAAAGUUGAGCUACAACCAUCUGUUAUUUCUCAAUUUGAAUGACAAUUCAGGAGCGAUUCUAAUAUCACUCUAGCUACGAGGACCAAAAAAUUACUCGGUGUGGAGCCGGGCGAUGCGAAUUGCAAUCCUAGGUUAGAACAAGCUAGGGUUCAUCAAUGGCGCAUGCAAAAGGGAGAAUUACGAGCAGAAUCUCGUAGAUUUGUGGGAAAGUUGUAAUGCAAUUGUAUUAUCAUGGAUAAUGAAUUGCGUAUCACCUAAAUGGCUCAGUGGGAUUGUAUAUUCUUCGAACGUGAGUGCAGUUUGGAGUGACCUAAAAGAGAGAUUCGACAAACAAGAUUGCUCAAGAAUUUUCAGAUACACAAACAGAUUGCUGCUAUUAGUCACGGUACCAGUUCCAUCUCUGGUUAUUUUUCGAAAUUGCGAGUACUUUGGGCAGAGUUUGAUAGCUUAGCUCCGAUUCCAAGAUCCGACUGUGAAAAAUCUCGUGACUUUGUUGUAUACAUGGAUCGCUUGAAGCUCCUAAAAUUUCUUAUGGGGCUCAAUGAGACGUACAAACAGGCUAGAAGUCAAAAUAUUAGUGAUGGUGUCGGUUCCAACUGUGAACAAGGCAUACUCCAUGCUAAUAGAAAGAGAGAGUCAAAGACACAUGACUAACACUUCUGGAACUAUAGAAAACAUGGACACAACAACACUCAUGACCACAAAAGGUAGAGGAGGUACUCAAAGGUUCAAGAAAAACUGUAACGCUUUCUGUGAUUACUGCAAGAUGGAAGGACACACUCGAGAUGGAUGUUUUAAAUUUAUUGGAUAUCCAGCAGAUUUCAAACCUAAAAGGAGAUUUGGGGGGAAAUAGUGCACAUAAUGUGAUAGCAGAAGACACAAACACACAGGCAGGAGCAAAUGAUGUACACCUAUAUCCAACUGGAUUCAGGAGCCCACCAACAUUUACACCAGAGAAAUUCAAUCAACUGUUGAAGCCGAUCAACAAGGAAAACCUACCAGAUAAUUCAGCAAAUGUUGGAAAUAGUGCAAACCUUGCAAGCACAUCAACCAUGGCAGGUAUUACUACUGCUCUCUCAGUGAAUGACAAUAACUAUGAAUGGAUCAUAGACACAAGGUCAACUAGCCAUACGUGUUCCAACUUAAAGUUGUUGAAUGAAUCCAGAAGGAUAGUUGAGAAUAGAAAAGUGCACUUACCUAAUGGGCAAGUAUCGGUUGUGUCACAUAUGGGUAGUUGUGGAGUAUUAAAAGGAGAAAUCAUCAAGGAGGUGUUGUAUGUGCCUGAGUUUAAACACAAUUUGUUGUAUGUGUCAAAACUUACAAAGGAACUGAAUUGUAUGGUGGCUUUCUAUCCUACUUUCUGUUUGUUCCAGGACCUCUCCAAUGGGAGGGUACCGGGGAUUGGUAAAGAGGAAGAAGAACUCUAUUUGUUGACAUCUCAGAAGAUAUGGAAGACAAAAACAACCUACAAUAGAAGGAUUUGCAGUUGAUAAGGAGGAAGAAUGCAUCAGAACAUGGCACAAGAGGAUGGGGCAUGUAUCAGUAGGUGCUAUGAAAUAACUUUUUCAAUUUUCACAUGAUACUUGUAAAAGAGUUGUAGAAAACUGUGAAAUUUGCCCCCUUGCUAGACAAACCAGGUUGCCUUUUAAUAUUAGUGAGACAAAGUCAUCUACUAUUUUUAUUUGUUACAUUUAGAUGUAUGGGGACCUUAUAAAGUUCAGACUUUUGAUGAAAAUAGAUCUUUUUUACAAUUUUGGAUGAUCAUUCUCGUAUGACUUGGAUUUAUCUGCUCAAGCUAAAAAGUGAUGUGAUCAUAAUCAUAAGAACUUUUUUACAAAUUGUUCAUACUCAAUUCAACAAAACAGUUAAAGCAAUAAGAGCAGACAAUGGUACUGAAUUUAUCAAUAAAUCUUGUGCUGACUUGCUUCAAUCCCAUGGAAUAAUACAUCAAAAGACUUGUGUUUACACGCCCCAGCAAAAUGGUGUAGCAGAAAGAAGUCAUAGGUACAUUUUGGAAGUAGCUAUUUCAAUCAGAUUUCAAAGCUCUAUUCCUUUGAGGUUUUGGGGGCAUUGUGUGUUAGGAGCUGUUUAUAUGAUAAACAUGAUGCCUUAUGUUUCAUUACAAGGAAAGACUCCACAUGAAGUUUUUCACAAAUGCAAACCUAGCAUGGACCACAUCAGGACUAUGGGAUGUCUUUGCUAUACCAAGAAGUUACCAGUGGGGGACAAAUUUGAGGCAAGAGCAGUAAAAGUAGUAAUAUGGGGUACUCUAAUGUGACAAAGGGUUACAUUCUUUAUAACUUGGAUAAUCACCCUUUUUCAUCUCAAGGGAUGUAUAUUCAAGGAGAAUGUAUUUCCAUUCGAACAUCAAGCCUCACCAAAGCGUAUAUUUUUAAAUAGGAAAGAGGUUUCUGAACUUGAUGAUCUAGGAGAACAUAUUAGUACACACAAAGAGAUCUUCCACUUGAUGACACAAGGGAAUAUCCUUUACCUACAACAAGAACCAAUGCUACUGAAUAUUAUGAACAUGAUGAGCUCACACAUCCAGAAGAAAAUUUCACCUCUGCAGCAACAAAAAUGAAUGAGCCCAAUAUGAUGCCUGAUCUUGAGGAGCAAAUAUCUCAGCAGCAAAUUGAGAAUAAUGAAGACCUGGUACUUCCUCAAUUGCUAAAUGAGGAUGGCGACCCCUUGAGAAAGUCUACUAGAGACAAAAUGACACCAUCUUGGAUGUCUGAUUAUGUCAAUGUUGUAACUUCUGGAAACUGUCACUAUCUUCUAAGUGACUGUCUUUCAUAUUUCUCUAUCUUAUCACCAUUAUCUGAUGAAUGUCUCUCAUGUGACUGAGCCAAAGAGUUACCAGGAACCUUGCAAUGAUCAAAAAUAGAUUGAUGCAAUGAAGGAUUCAAUCAAGGCAUUGGGAGAUAAUAAAACUUGAGAACUAGUCCAUUUGCCACAGAAAAGUCCCCAAUUGGGUGCAAGUGGGUCUACAAAGUGAAGUUCAAAUCUAAUGGAGACAUCGAAAGAUAUAAGGCAAGGCUGGUUGCAAAAGGAUACAACCAACAAGAGGGACUUGACUAUCAUAAGACACUCUCACCAGUGGUGAAGAUUGUCACUGUCAUGACUAGCACCUAGGCCAUACUUGCCGAGUACCAACGUACAUUUUAUCUAACCUUCCUUAUUAUCUUUAAGGGCCGACGAGAUCAUUAUAAAUGGUAGAUAUGGAUCAUGAACAACAAACAAUGAAAGAUAAUGGAAUGAACAUACAUAACAUGGGAUGACAAGACUCCCAAGAAACUACAUAUAAGUACGAGCUACCAUGCUCCCAUGAAAGACUAUACAACAAAAAUCAACCGACAAGGCAUACCAAACUAUACAUGGAUCGACACCUGUUUAUGAGCCUCUAAAAGAGCAUAAGUGCUACAGCAUUGCCGGAACAUGGCCCUGACAUACCCAUAAUAUCUGUAACAAAAAUGCAUACCAAGACCACGACAAGUCCGAAGAAGGGAUCUCGCCCAUAACCGCUAAACUGGAAAGCCUACUGUGUUGGGGGAGCUGCAUUUACCUGUUUAUUAGGACCUGCAACACGACAUGCAACGUCCACAAAUAUAAAGGACAUCAGUACGAAUAAAGUACUGAGUAUGUAAGGCAGGAAAUCAUAAGUAAGAACAGUAAUGUAAACAUGGAUAGAGAAUAUACAACCUGUGACAUCUGGAUACCUCUGAGGGCUACUGACAUGAAAUGUGUGAUAAAUACAUAAACUUUUAAAACAUACGCCUCUGUGACAUCAUCAUCAUCAUAUCAUACCCGGCCGUAAUGGGCUCGGUAAAACGUACCCGGCCACGUGGAGCUCGGUAAAAUCCAACUGAUCAGUGGUUGCACAAUAGGUAACGUACCCAGCCAACUAUAGCGCGGCUCGGUGGAGUAAAAUAGAUACAUAUAUAUAAUGCAUGUAGGAAUCAUUGCAAUCAUAUUUUGAACCUUUCGGAGUGACGUAAGGUCGAUAUUCUCUGUACACAUUAUUAGGAAUAACUCUUCAUCAAGAAUCUUAUAAGAAUCAGGAAGUACCAACAACAUUGAUAAUAUAAGAAUAAGAGAAGCAACCUCAACAUCAAUUGUUCCAUAAGAAGGGAAACAAUGUAAGUACUGCUAGCUUCUAAGAGUAGAGUACCCUUGGAAUAUCGUUCAUUGCAUUAUGUACAAUCGAAAUCAUGCAAAAGAAGGAAAAGGAUAGCCUCACAUACCUUGUAUAUGUACUGCCCAACCUCAAGCUAUGCAAAUGUCACGAGUCCUUGGUCUACAAUAAGAGAAAUGACACUAUCGUUAUCGUUUAAGCAUCAUAACUCUUAUGUAUCGACCACAACCUAUUUUACGAUGAAACUGACAGCACCUCCCCUAUAUAUAUGAUUUCACACAAGUCAAAACAAUCACCAAACAACCCAACAUACCCCUAUCACUUCAUACACAAUAUGACAACCAUAAUAGUGUCAAAUAAUCCGAAAAUGUUACGAUGAACGACCAACAAAUAACCUUGCCAUUAUGUGGUGUUUCUCCACACCCUUUCUCCUCUCAACUCCGUAAAAAUAGUAGCAAAAUGAGAUAACCCAAUAGCAACACAAAAAACCCACAACACAGUCCCACAAGUUUAGCAACUCAAAAUUAAUUUUUCAGUUUUCUUUUCUUUCAAAUUGAGAAAAACAACAAAAAGUACAUAAUUAUACCUCUUAUCCAAUAAACCAGCCAUGAAUUCAACUUAAAAAUAAGUUCACAACCAGCAAGCCAUGACAUAAGAACAAACAACAUACCACUCUUUCGAAACUCGCUAGGUCUAUUUUUUACGAUCGAGUUAUAACUCGUAAACGCAUAGAUAAUGGAAGGAGAAGCAUAACCUUACCUUGUACUGAGUAUAACCCACGAAACCUGGUCCUUCUUCAUCAAAAAUCAGUUCCUCAACACGGCUACAAGAUGGAGAAAGAGAAACUAGCAAGCUGUCCAGACUUUUUGGCACUAGUCACAUCGUAACACCCGAAAUACACUAGGGUUUGUGUGGGAUUUUUGGGGAGGAGUUGCAGGGGUUCAAUUUGAUUUUCAAGGUCUGAAAGAUGGGUGAAAUAAAUGAGUUGAUAAGCCCUUAAAAGUCCACUCUUGGGCGACUUUGGGGCUUUUAAUUGAGUCCUCUCAUUUUGGCAAGUAGGUGAUGCACCUACUUGUCACCUACCAAUCUGCGCAGUCUCAUGAAAAUGCGAAUAUCUCUGUACUCCGAUAUCGUAUUGACAAAUGGUUUAAUGCGUUAGAGACUAGACUCAUAGAUCUUCAAUUUUGUGGCUAGAUCACCUCGUAAUUCCAAGUUAAUUGGGAGAAAAGCUUAGUAACAUUUGACCUAAAGUUUAAGUAAAAUUAUGAACAUAAGUUGCGACAACUUUUGUUUCAUUACUCGUUUGACUUCAAGACUUAUGAUACGAAUAUUAUAUAAUUCAAAUACCUUAAAACACUACCUCUUGAGAAUAUUAGCAUCCCUAGGUUUACCCAAAAAUAUAGGUUAUAACAUCCUUGAUUCAUUUAAGUUCUAAUACUUGUUAACCACCCUUAUACACCCUUGUAUCAUUUAAGACCAAUAGGAUUAACUUUUUAUCAUCUCAAAGAUAAUCUCUUCUCAGAUUUACGUUGACUAACUUAUGGCAUGAGAAUAUGGGUUGUAACACUCUCUCCCCCUCCCCCCCAGGAACAUUCGUCCUCGAAUGUAAGGGUAUAUGGGGAGUCUAAAUCAUUAUGGAUUCCAGCAGAAAUUUUCGGCUGUGUUUUCCCUAUAAAAUGGACACUAGCGAAACUUGCAAGUAGUUAAACCCAACAUAUGGACUCACAAGGCUAUAGAAAGCAUUAUGGAUUUAUACAUUAUCUGCAUAUCACCAUUUUGUAUUAAGGAAGAGUAUUCUCAAGCUAUUACUUACCUCAUAGAGCCAUUUCACCCUCUAAUGUGUCAUGUGUUCCCUCGACAUCCUCGUUAUCUUUAUUCUAGAACAUGUAAGGGUAUUUAGACUUCAUCUCCUCUUCUGCUUCCCAUGUCAUUUCUUCCAUAUUCUAGUUCCUCCACAAUACUUUGAUGGAAGCUACAUCAUUUGUUCUCAGCUUGCGGCCUUGUCGAUCUAAUAUAGCCACUGUUAAUUCUUCAUAUGAUAGAUCCUCUGUAACUUGUACAUCUUUGAUAGAGACGACCCGAGAAGGGUCUCCAAUGCAUUUCUUCAACAUAGAUACAUGGAAUACCGGGUGGACAAAUUCCAAUUGGAUGGCAAUUCUAACUCAUAAGCAACCUGUCCAAUUCGUCGAUGAAUUUUGUACGGACCGAUAUACUGCGGACUCAGCUUACCCUUCUUCCCAAAAUGCAUAACACCCUUCAUCAGCGAUAUCCUUAAGAAAACCCAAUCACCAACCUCAAACUCCAGAUCACGAUGUCGGACAUCGGAAUAAGACUUUUGCCUGCUUUGCGUCGUCCUCAGCUGCUCUUGUAUCAGUUUCACCUUCUCGAUGGCUUGGUGAAUCAAAUCUGGCCCAUAUAGUUCUUUUUCACCGACUUCGAACCAUCCAAGUGGUGAUCUACAUAUCUUCCCAUAUAGUGCCUCGUAUGGGGCCAUUUUAGUAUUGGAAUGGUAGCUAUUAUUGUAGGCAAAUUCUAUGAGUGGAAGAUGGUCAUCCCAACUCCCUUUGCAAUCCAGAACACAUGCUCGUAGCAUAUCUUCAAAUGUCUGAAUGGUAUAUUCAUCCUGUCCGUCAGUUUAUGGAUGGAAUGCAAUGCUGAGAUUCACUUGUGUGCCUAAACCCUUCUGAAAAGACCUCCAAAAGUUAGCCGUAAAUUACUCUCCGUGGUCUGAUGUAAUACACCGGCACACCAUGAAGCCUCACAAUUUCCUUGAUAUACAAAUUCGCAUGAUUUUUAGCUGUGUAAGUUGUCUUAACUGGCAGAAAAUGGGCACAUUUUGUAAGUCGAUCAACUAUCACCCUGAUAGAGUCAAACUUAUGAUAAGAGCGAGGUAAUCCAAUAAUGAAGUCCAUAUUAAUCACCUCCCAUUUCCAGGUCGGAAUCUCUAUAUUUUGAAGUAAUCCACUAGGUUUCUGAUGCUCGAUCUUUACUUGUUGACAAUUAGGACACUGGGCUACAAAUUUUGCAAUAGACUUCUUCAUGUUAUCCCACCAAUACUUCUCCUUAACGUCAUGAUACAUCUUUGUCGAGCCAGGAUGGAUGGAAUAUCGGGAUUGAUGAAUCUCAAUCAUAAUAUUCUCUCGCAACCCUGCCACAUUAGGUACACAUAAUCGGCCCUGGUAUCUCAGUGUCCCAUCUCCUCCAAUCUCGAAAGCCGUAAUUUUACACUGCUGAAUGCUCUCUCUCAAUCUUACUAAGGUAGGAUCUCCGUAUUGUUGUGCUUUUACCUCAGCUACCAAAGAUGAUUCUGCUAUAUUCUGUAUAUUAACACCUCCGUCAUCAGAGUCUAACAAUCUGAUUCUCAUAUUGGCAAGCUGAUGAAGCUCUUUAGUCAACCCUUGUCUACCUGCCUCAAUGUGUACUAAGCUUCCAAUUGACUUACGACUGAGAGCAUCUGCCACAACAUUGGCUUUACUGGGAUGGUACAAUAUCUCGACAUCGUAAUCUUUAAGUAAUUCAAGCCACCUACAUUGCCUCAAAUUCAACUCCUUCUGCUUGAAGAUGUAUUGUAAACUCUUGUGAUUUGUGUAGAUGUCAACAUGGAUGUCGUAUAUGUAGUGCCUCCAUAUCUUCAAAGCAUAUAUUACUGCAGCCAAUUCCAAAUCAUGGGUUGGGUAAUUAUUUUCAUGCUUCUUCAAUUAUCUUGAUGCAUAAACAAUCACCUUUCCACGUUGCAUCAAUACGCACCCGAAACCUAUACCUGAGGCAUCACAAUAUAUACCACAUAACCUUCUGUUUCUUCUGGGAGAGUGAGCACUUGCGCGGAUGUCAAUUGAUUCUUUAGCUCCUGAAAACAUUGUUCACAAGCGUCAGACCACUAGAACUUAGUAGCUUUUUGUGUUAACUUAGUCAAUGGUGCUGAUAUAGAGGAAAACCCUUCUACAAAUCACCUAUAAUAUCCUGCUAGCCCCAGGAAGCUGCUGACUUCUGAUGGUGUUGUAGGUCUCGGCCAAUUCUUUACUGCAUCGAACUUUUGAGUGUCGACACUAAUACCAUCGUCAAAUAUCACAUGGCCAAGGAAUGCUACUGAGUUCAGCUAGAUUUCACAUUUGGAGAGCUUAGCAUAUAACUUACGAUCCUGAAGUGUCUGUAAUACUAUCCGCAAGUGGCCCGCAUGUUCUGCCUCCUAACGAGAAUACACCAAAAUGUCAUUAGUGAAUACGAUCACGAACACAUCAAGAUAGGGUCUGAAUACAGUCUUCAUGAGAUCCAUAAAAGCUGCUGGGGCAUUUGUCAGCCCGAACGACAUCACCAAAAACUCAAAGUGCCCAUAUCUUGCCCGGAAGGCUGUCUUUGGAAUAUCCUUCUCCUUAACCCUCACCUGAUGAUACCCUGAAUGUAAGUCAUUCUUAGAGAAAUUCUUGGCACCCUGAAGUUGGUCAAACAUGUCGUCAAUCCUUGGAAGUGGAUACUUGUUCUUUAUAGUAAACUUAUUCAACUGUCGAUAAUCGAUACACAUCCUUAACGACCUGUCUUUCUUCUGCACGAACAAAACUGGCACACCCCAAGGUGAAGUGCUAGGCCUAAUGAAGCCCUUAUCCAGCAAGUCCUUCAACUGCCCCUUCAACUCUCGCAACUCUGUCUGGGCCAUCCUGUAUGGAGGAAUAGAUAUGGGUUUAGUGUUGGGCAACACAUCAUGCUAAACUCAAUCUUCCUUUCAGGAGGAAGGCCUAGGAGUAAAUCUGGGAAAACAUCUAGAAAUUCAUUGACCACGGGGAUUGAUUGUAGAGUAGGCUGCUUCGACUCCGCAUCCCUAACGCGAACGAGAUGAUAAAUAUAACCUUUUGAGAUCAUCUUUCUUGCCUUAAGAUAGGAAAUAAACCUACCUUUCAGCGUCGCAAUGUUCCCCUUCCAUUCAAUGAUGGGUUCACCAGGAAACUAAAACCUACCAUCUUCGUACGACAGUGAACAUUUGCAUAGCAUGAGUCCAACCAGUCCAUUCCCAUUAUCAUAUAAAAAUGAACCAUUUCUAACUCAAAUAAAUUCGUCGAGGUUUGACAACUACAAAUUAUCACUAUGCAACCUCUAUAUACCCUUCUAGCAAUCACACAAUCUCCUAUCAGAGUAGAUACCACAAGUGGUUUACUUAUCAAUUCAGGUUCAACGCCAAACUUAUUAGCCACAAAGCCUGUAUCAUAUGAUAAUGUAGAUCCCGGAUCAAUCACCACAUAUAAAUCGUAAGAAAACAGAGACAAUAUACCUGUAAUAACAUCCGGAGAUGACUCGAGAUCCUAUCGACCUACUAGAGCAUAGGUUCGAUUUUUGAGCACCACUCGAACUCGGCACUGCACCUCUACCUCUACCACGACCUGUCGAUUACUGAAAACCCCGUGUUGGAGGUCGAACUGAUGAGGAAGAACCAGACACAGAUCCAGUUGGCUAAGCCAUACCACCACCUCCUAUAUUAGGACAAUUCCGCAUCAUAUGGCCGGGCUGUCCGCUAGAAUAGCACGCAUCAGAACCUCGACGACAUAGUCCAAAGUGGGCCUUGCCGCACUGAUCACAACGUGGUGUUGGGGGUCUCGUCUGACUAGUAUCCCUUGUGAUAUUGAGAGCCUGAUGCCCGCAAACUCUGACCUAGACCAGAAUAGGUAAAUCGAUCAUAUCAAGGCCUCUGAAACUGUGAAGGAGCACUAGCUAAAGGUGGUGCUGAACUCCUCGAAGACUCCAGGCCUGACACUGCCUCUGAAGUCAUUAGAAUACCCUGAAAAUCUCACCCUCUUAUUCUGGCCCCUAUCCUGCUCCCUAUCUUCCCUUUGCUAGCGCUUACGAUCCUCUAGGGUCUAGGCAUAAGCCUGAAUACGGGAAAUAUCCAUGCCCUCCGCCUAGGAGGCUAUCGUGCACUUAUUUAGUAGAUGUGGUCCCAACCCGUUCACGAACAUAUGCACCCUAUCACUCAUCUCAUCCACCAUAUGAGGAGCAUACAUUGCUAAAGAAUCAAACUGCAUAGUAUACUCUCGCACACUCAUAUUACCUUGUCUAAGGUUCAGGAACUUAUCAGCUCUAGCUCGUUGUAUCUCAACUGGCAAAUAGUGACGAAGAAAGGCCUCAGAAAAUUCCUUCCUCGCAGCUGAAGGGGCGUUCAGACCCCUGGAUCUCUCCCAACUAUCAUACCAAAAAACUGCUAAAUCUGGUAACUGAUAAGAAGCCAACUCUACUGCCUCUGUAUCAAUAGCAUGCCUAACCCACAGUGUACCAUGAACCUGAUCAAUAAAAGUCUGCGGGUCCUCCUUGGGGUCUGAUCUAGUAAACACUGGAGGGUCUAGAUUAAUAAAAUCACGAACUCUCGUACUAGCCGGUUUAUCAAUAACACCGGUAUUCUGCCUCUGAGCCUGAGCAGCUACCAAGCUAGUCAACAACCGCACUGAACUUUGCAUCUCCUGGUCUGUAGUGCCAGACGGCGGAAGUAGAUGAGGUAUGAGACGACAUCUCACUAUGAGCCUCAUUUUGGCCUACUCUGGCUUGAGGCAUCUGACUGGUACUUUCUCCCGCAGUUGUAUCAAGCCUUCUACUAAUUGCUUACUUCCUAGUCGAAGGUAUCACUGAAAGAAAACAAGGUGAAUAUUAGAGACGAACACUUACGACUCAACUCUACGCACGAUCUAGAUUCAGGAAGAAUGUAACAACCAUAGAUGUCAUGUAGCCUCCUGAUUAUAAAUGUGGCAUGCUACACAUCUAUAAUCAAGACUCUACUAGACACGGCUCAUAGACAACCCCUAGGACAGGCUUGCUCUGAUACCAAGUUUUUCAUGACCCAAAUUGGAAGAUCAUGACUAGACCCCGGGCCAUACUUGCCGAGCACCAACAUACAUUUUAUCUAACCUUCCUUAUUAUCUUUAAGGGCCGACAAGAUCAUUGUAAAUGGUAGAUAUGGAUCAUGAACAACAAACAAUGAAAGAUAAUAGAAUGAACAUACAUAACAUGGGAUGACAAGACUGCCAAGAAACUACAUAUAAGGUACGAGUUACCACGCUCCCAUAUACAACAAAAAUCAGCCGACAAGGCAUACGAAGUUAUACAUGAGUCGACACCUGUCUAUGGGCCUCAAAAAACAUAAGUGCUGCAACAUUGCCGGAACAGGGCCACAACAUACCUAUAAUAUCUGUAACAAAAAUGCAUACCAAGAACACGGCAAGUCCGGAGAAGGAAUCUCGCCAAUAACCGCUGAACUGGAAAGCCUACUGUGGUGGGGGAGCUGCGUCUACCUGUCUAUCAGGACCUGCAGCAUGACAUGCAGCGUCAACAAAUAUAAAGGACGUCAAUACGAAUAAAGUACUGAGAAUAUAUGGCAGGAAAGCAUAAGUAAGAACAGUAAUGUAAACAGGGAUAGAGAAUAUACAACCUAUAACAUCUGGAUACCUCUGAGGGCUACUAACAUGAAAUGCGUGAUACAUACAUAUAUAUACAUACACUUUUAAAAUAUACGCCUCUGUGGGCAUCAUCAUCAUCAUAUCGUACCCAACCGUAAUAGGCUCGGUAAAAUGUACCCGGCCACAUGGAGCUCGGUAAAACCCAACCGAUCAGUGGUUGCACAAUAGGUGACGUACCCGGCCGACUAUAGCGCGGCUUAGUAGAGUAAAAUAGAUGCAUAUAUAUAAUGCAUGUAGAACUCAUUGGAAUCAUAUUCUGAACCUUUCGGAGUGAUGUAAGGUCGAUAUUCUCUGUACUCGUUAUUAGAAAUAACUCUUCAUCAAGAAUCUUAUAAGAAUUAGGAAGUACCAACAACAUUGAUAACAUAAGAAUAAGAGAAGCAACCUCAACAUCAAUUGUUCCAUAAGAAGGGAAACAAUGUAAACUGCUAGCUUCUAAGAGUAGAGUACCUUUGGAAGCUUGUUCAUUGCAUUAUGUACAAUCGAAGUCAUGCAAAAGAAGGAAAAGGAUAGCCUCACUUACCUUGUAUAUGUACUGCCCAAUCUCAAGCUAUGCAAAUAUCACGACUCCUUAGUAUACAAUAAGAGAAAUGACACUAUUGUUAUCGUUUAAGCAUCGUAACUAUUAUGUAUCGAACACAACCUAUUUUACGAUGAAACAGACAGCACCUCCCCUAUAUAUAUGACUUCACACAAGUCAAAACAAUUACCAAACAGCCCAACAUACCCCUAUCACUUCAUACACAACACAACAACCAUAAUAGUGUCAAACAAUCCAAAAAUGUUACGACGAACGACCAACAAAUAGCCCUGCCAUUAUGUGGUGUUUCUCCACACCUUCCUCCUCUCAACUCCCUAAAAAUAGUAGCAAAAUGAGACAACCAAAUAGCAACACGAAACAGCCCACAAAUUAGUCCCACAAGUUCAGCAACUCAAAAUUAAUUUUUCAGUUUACUUAAACACGUUUGACGUGUCUUUUCAUUCAAAUUGAGAAACACAACUAAAAGUACAUAAUUAUACCCAUUAUCCAAUAAAACAACCAUGAAUUCAACUUAAAAAUAAGUUCACAACCAACCAACCAUGACACAAGAACAAACAACAUACCACUCUUUCAAAACUCGCUAGGUCUAUUCUUUACGAUCGAGUUACAACUCGCAAAUGCAUAGAUAAUGGAAAGAGAAGCAUAACCUUACCUUGUAGUGAUUAUAACCCACGAAACCUGGUCUUUCUUCAUCAAAAAUCAGUUCCUCAACGCGGCUACAAGAAGGAGAAAGAGAAACUAGCAAGUUGUCCGGACUUUUCGGCACUAGAAUCACGUCGUAACACCCGAAAUAAAUGAGUUGAUAAUCCCAUAAAAAUCCCCUCUUGGCCGACUUUGGGGCUUUUAAUUGAGUCAUCUCAUUUUGGUAAGUAGGUUAUUCACCUACUUGUCACCUACCAAUUUGCGCAGUCUCGCAAAAAUGCAAAUAUCUCUAUACUCUGUGUUGAUAAAUGGUUUAAUGUGUUGAAAACUAGACUCAUAGGUCUUCAUUUGGUGGGCAGAUCACCCCGUAAUUCCAAGUAAAUUGGGAGAAAAGCUUAGUAACAUUUGACCUAAAGUUUAAGUAAAAUUAUGAACAUAAGUUGCGACAACUUUUGUCGACUUUUGUUUCAUAACUCGUUUGACUUCAAGACUUAUGAUAAGAAUAUUAUAUGAUUCAAAUACCUUAAAACAUGACCUCUUGAGAAUAUUAGCACCCCUAGGUUUACCCAAAAAUACGGGUUACAACAUUCUUGAUUCGUUUAACUUCNNNNNNNNNNNNNNNNNNNNNNNNNNNNNNNNNNNNNNNNNNNNNNNNNNNNNNNNNNNNNNNNNNNNNNNNNNNNNNNNNNNNNNNNNNNNNNNNNNNNNNNNNNNNNNNNNNNNNNNNNNNNNNNNNCUCAAAGAUAAUCUCUUCUCAGAUUUACGUCGACUAACUUAUGGAAUGAACCGACGUACGUGAAUAUGGGUUGUAACACCGUCCAUAGCAGCAGCUGCAAGUUGGCACAUACAUCAGAUGGAUGUGUAUAAUAUCUUCCUGCAGGGGGGUCUUCAUGAUGAAGUUUAUAUGUCACUUCCUGAGGGGUUUUCUAUCCGGGGGCAGAAUAAAGGAUUGGUUUGUAGGCUAGUAAAGUCCCUAUAUGGGUUGAAGCAGGCAAGUAGAUAGUGGAAUGUGAAGUUGACAGAAGUACUAAUGAAUUCAAGCUUUACACAAAGCAGCCUUGACCAUUCCCUAUUCAUCAAAAGAAUUGAUAGACACAUAGUAGUAAUCUUGGUGUAUGUAGAUGACAUGCUAGUUGCCGGGGACAACAUCAACUUGAUUGAACAGACCAAACAAGAACUACAUUCUGCAUUUAAGAUAAAAGAUCUGGGGACUCUAAAAUACUUCUUGGGAAUAGAAUUUAGCAGAUCAGAAAAUGGAAUAGUAAUGAAUCAAAGAAAAUAUGCCUUGGAACUCAUUUGAGACAUGGGCCUAACUAGUUCAAAACCAUCAUGAACUCCUUUGGAUAACAAUAUAAAGCUAACUACUGUGGAAGUUGGCAGAGCAGGAGGGAGAACAGAUGAUGAAAUUCUGCAUGAUAAAGGUGUUUAUCAGAGGCUAAUAGGAAGAUUCCUAUAUUUGACACUAACCAUGCCGGAUAUUUAUUUUGCUGUACAAACCUAAAUCAGUUUAUGCCUUAACCUAAAAGAUCACACAUGAAUGUUGCCUUGAAAGUGAUGAGAUAUGUGAAAAGAGAACCAGGAAUAGGGAUUCUCAUGAGCAGCAGAAGAACAACCAAGCUAAAAGCAUACUGUGAUGCAGAUUGGGCAUCAUGUCCCAAUUCUAGAAAAUCAGUCACUAGUUUUUUGAUAAAACAUGGUAACUCCUUGAUAUCAUGGAAGUCAAAGAAAUAGACAACUGUCUCCAAAAGCUCAGCUGAGGUGGAGUACAGGAGCAUGGCAAGCACUGUAGUAGAAAUAAUAUGGAUCGUAAGGUUGUUCAAGGAACUGGGAGAAAACCUCAAUAUUCCAGUAGACAUCUAUAGUGAUAGUAAGGAAGCACUACAGAUUGCUGCAAAUCCAAUUUAUCACGAGCGAACUAAACAUAUAAGAUCGAUUGCUAUUUUAUAAGAGAAAAUAUACAAGCAUGGUUGAUCAAAACACAAUAUCUUGCUAUAAAGGAUAAACAAGCAUAUAUUAUGACAAAAAGGAUUGUACAAACCACAACAUGAGUUUCUAGUUGCCAAGCUGGGCGUCCUUGAUGUUUACAUACCUACUAGCUUGAGGGGGAGUAAUGAAAGUGAAGGUGUAACGUAAUGCUAGCUAGCUAUCUUGUUAAUUAUUUUCAAUUGUAACUAAUUCUCAUGUAAUUAGUUAUUAGUUAGCAUAGUUGUUAGUCUGUAGAGUUAGUGGCUUAGAUAGGACAACUAUCAAAUAAAUGUGUUGUCGGCCCUUUUUCUCGCGAAAUCGGGUUUAUGACAUUUUGGUUGGGACAACUCUUUCCUUUUUGGGAAAUGGGGUUUGCAUUUUUGAAGAGUCGCCACCUAACGAUUUAAGGUGCGUUAAGGUUCAUUUAUAACUACGUUUGGUAACCAGAGACAAUGUAAGGGCUUGAAAUUAUCCCAAGGGGAAGGUGUUAGGCACCCCUCAGGAUCCACUAAUGUGGUUUCCAGCCAAAUAGUUUUUGAGAAUUGGUACAAUUAGCAAAUAAAAAAGUAUGGCUCAAGUAGUAGAGGAUUUAAGUUUAAGAACACAGAUGUUUGAAAAGCAACUAAUGAAAAGUAAAAGUUUAAAAAGAAUUACAAUGUAAGCAUAUUUGGGAAUGUAAAGGGGGUGUCCUAGGUUUGUUUAUAAUAUGGAUCACAUUAAUGCAAUACCCGGUAUGACACUCCUCAAAGAGGGGCUACACGCGGUAUUAACGCAUCAGUCAUUAUGUCCAUAUCUAUCCUUUCCCCACCCGUGAAGGUAAUUAAAACCCGGUCUCAACCCCUAUUGCAUGCUAUUACCCGUCCUUUCCUAUUAGUCCCGGAGGAAUUUAGACUCCUAUCAUAUAAAAGGGGAUUCUAGGCAGACCCUCAAGUUUAAAGGCAAAAUGCCAAGGCGACAUAUAAUAAACAAGUAUGACUUCAAUUAAGGGGAGCAUGGAAGACAAAUGAAAGGCUCAGAUAUACCUCCACACACAGUACACAUAAACAACAUGACUCAUAUACAAUUAAGGUCUGAAUUCAGAUCCUAAGCAUGGUAUCUAAGUGAUAACAACAGAGUCAUAUUUAUAACAUAACUCAAAUAGGAAGUCCUAAUAAGGCUUGCCUACUGAUUUUAACAUGCUGACAGUUAAACAAAGCUAGUUCUGGUUUUUAUUUAAGCUAUAUUACCUAAGGCUUGCCUAGGCGUAAAAUAAUUUGCAGCAGUUACCAGAAUUAUAAAACAGUUAUUUUACCUAAAGCAUGUUGUUCUAAAUGUUUCAAGGACAUGCAGGAUUUUGACCAGUUUUACUUAAUAGGAUAAUCAAACAUGAGACUGUUUUAUGUCCUUUUCAUGCAUCAGUAGUUUAACUAGGUGUAACUAAGCGAGAUCCUAAAACAGGGUAUCUAACGUGCACAUAUGAAAAAUGCAGAAUAUGCAGAAUUCCUAGAGCAUGGUUUCUAAGUGCAAAGAGCAACAGUUUCAUGUUGAUGCUGUUAUUUAGCCUAAAGCAGGAUUUCUAAGUGAUAAAGUGAUGUCAAAUGAGAUGCUGAAAUAGUAAACCUAAGAACAUGGUAUCUAAUGCAUGACAUGCUUUGAAUAUGUUGGUCUUACACAUGGAUUCUAAUGCACAUAUAGAAAAUGUAAACCUAAGGCAUGGUUUCUACCCAUUGAUGUUGAUAACAUAUAUAACUACCCUCCCCUUUUCACUAGCUAGUCCUAAUACUUGUUUAUAACAGAUUAUUACAGACCAAUACUGAAAUGAAUUACAUAAGUAGAAAAGAAAGGUAAAAGUUACACUAUAGAGAGCCUAAAAACAGGCCCAGAUUUCCAACACCUGAUUAAGACUUCCUCUCUGAGUUAUGUAAUAAAUCACCUUAAGUGCCAAAAUUGUUUCAUAGCUUUUCUCAUGUCUGGGUGUGUUAGAGUUCCCUAAGGACCUCAAGGGAUCCCGGGCAGUGCUCACACCCAGAUUUCAUAGCCAAGACAGAGUAAGUGCAGUGUGGAAAGGCCAGCUUUCAUGUGUCCAAGUUCAGAGGGAGCUCAAUGGUCCCAAGGCAAAGCUCACACAAAAAGGGCAGAACUUAGUGGUCUAAGAGUAAGGUGAGAGUACUUGACAUAGUGAUGAAAGAUUAGUAAAGCAGUUUAGAAGUGAAAAGGUUCAGAAAUAAUUUUAAAGAUACUAGGAAUUAUCAGUUUUGAGAAGAAUGCUAGGAGUAGGAGCAGCAGUUUUGAAAUCAUUCUUUGAGAAAAGCAUACUCAUCAAACAACCCAAUUAACCAUAGAAUACCCAGAUUUACUUGACAAGCAGACUUACAAACAUGGGUGAAGGGAUUGGGAACAUAGAGGUUUGAAACCACAUAAAUAGGGAAACAUUUGACACAAUAAAUAUAUAGAAUAGCAAUGAGUCUAUUGAACAAAUCAGUCGUGGUAACAGACAUUUAAAACAUAGGGAAGAAUGCAGCAGGAUCAUGUUGAAGACAAAAGUUUUGUUGAACAAAAUUUGACAUACCAUUAGGGCCAAUAGAAUGCACUAGAAGACUAAGUAACUACAUGGUACCAGUUAAGGGAGGGGUAAGGGAACUAAGUGAUUAUGCUGGAUAAGUAUCAAAGAACUAAGUAAAGUCUGAUAUGAUGAUUACACAUAAGGCAGAAUUUAGACAUGCUUAAUAACAGCAAACAAAGAAACAAAUUGAACAACUAGUAUAGUAACAAGCAUGGAUGUAUAGGCAUGGAACACAUAAAGUUGAGUUUCAAAUUUAAACUAGAGACAUACCAGUUAAAGAAGAUAUAGAAUGUAAAAAAACAGGUGCAACUCCACUAUCUAGCCUUGGCUUUCAGCCGGCUAGGCCAACAGUCAGCACAAGUAGCAAAGAAAGAAGAGAGUUUGAAUGUAUGUGUGUAUUCUGAACUAAUUGUUCGUGUGUUAAGACUGUAGAAGAGAGUCAUUUAUAUAGUAGUUUGAAAACUGGUUAAAAAAUAAGGCAAGAAUCAAUUCUUCAGUAAUUAUAGAACUCAUUAUAAAAAGUUAGUUCGAAUCUCCCUUUAAUUAAGAGAGUCAGUGUAAACGGUAAAGAGCAGGUGGCAAGUAAGGAAAGAAAUCAUACACAGCUGGAGUAUAACAAAUAAGGAAAUAUUUCAAAAUAGUACAAGUAUAGAGCAGGUAAUUAAGGCUAGGUUCAGAAAGUUUUUUAAACUAAGGAAACAAUCAGUAAGAAUUAAGUAGCAAUGCAGACAAGGCAAUGGAAAAUUAAUUAAGGCAAGCAACUAAUCAAAUUAAGUGGAAAGGUAGGAGUCGAGAUUCAGUAGCAUAGACUAGUCGAUUAGGACCAAAUUCCCUUGAUUAAGGACACAACUCAGUAGAAAUAAGUAUCAUAGCAAAUAUGGUAAGGAAAUCAGUUAGAUUAACAGACGAAGCAAAGCUUUUAGGGUUUUGAAAGAAAAUUUUCAAUCACCAUCAAUUAAGGAAACCAGAAUCGAUCAAAAGAGAGUCAUGACUCUGCACUUUCAACAUAUAAAUAGAGGAGGUCCACAGACAUAGCAAGAAAAUAUAUUCGAAGCAUAGUCACAGAAAGAAGCAAGAGAUGAACAAACAAAGUGAGCAUAGUCACACAGAAGCGACAUAAGUAGGCUAGGGAUUCAGGAAAACAUAUUCGAAAUAGGGUAAUCACAGGACUUCAAGUAAGCAGGCUAACACACAGAAACGAAGUAAAGAAAGCAUGUUAACCCUCAUAGAAGCAAAGUAAGGAAAAUCAUGCCAACAUUCAUAGAAACAAAGUAAAGAAAAUCUCUAAAAAAUAAGGCUUUUAACAGAGUCAAGUUAAAAGCAGUAAGAGCACAAAAUCGGUCAAAACAAAUAAGGAAAAAGAUUUAAUCAUAACGAAAUCAGUUAGAACAUGCGUAAAAGAACUCCUAGAAACCUUAGUUUUAGAAAAGAAUGACUAAAAUCGAAAUAGUAAGUUAAAACAGGAGAUUUUUAAAGGAAAACGCUUAAUAAUACUCGAAUCACCUCAGAUCUAUAAAGAUCUGAGAAGAAUCGAACAGUAGCGAACUAGGGUUUUCAGAAAAAUAGUAGAGAUGAAGAGAAUCGGUUAAAAACUCAUGGAUUCAAACGAAAAAAACAAGAGGAAAUCCUUUCUUACAAAUGAAAAUGGCUGGAGGCAGGCCANNNNNNNNNNNNNNNNNNNNNNNNNGUUAGGGUGAGUUGAUAGAGAAUUUGGAGAUGAGAGAGUUUGAGGGCGGCUGUCUCUGAAUUGUGAGACUAGGGUUAGGGGUCGAGUGAAAUUAAAAAGGAAAGGGUGCGUUUGGACCGUUGAUCUCCCAGAUCAACGGUCGAGAUUAAAAAGGGUAGGUGAGUUCCGGGUUUGGGUAAGAGUUAAUAGGGUAUGGGUCAAGUGAUUCGGGUGUGAAAUUGGGCUGGAAAAGGGUCCAAUUUUGGCUAUAAUUGAAAGCCAAAUUUGGCUGUUAUUUAAAUAGCCAAUUUUCCCCCAUUCAAUUUAAAAAUAAUAGGUAAUUUUUGGAAAAUAAAUUAAGGUGCCAAAAUGAUUUAAAAUACAUAAUUAACAAUUUAAAAAUACAGGGUCCAAUUUUAUGCAUAUAGAACAUAAUUAAAUCUUAAAAGGGCUAAUAUUGCAAUUAUGUGCAAUUUAGCUUUAAAAAUACUAAAUGUAAUUAUAAAAAUAUAUAAAAAUUACCUUAGUCAUAUAUUGGCAUAAAUAUAGAAAUCCAAUAGAUGAAUUAUCAAAACAAUAAUUUUGGAAAUAAUUAUUGGAGAUUUUAUGGAUAAAAGCGAAGAAAAUAAAUCAAUUUAAGACUUUAAAAUUAUGGAGAAAAUAAUAAAAACCUUGGAUAUGCUUAUAUAUGCAUAUAUAUGCUAUUGUGAAGGUAUUUUGCAUAUUUAAAAUGUAUAGGAAAAAUUUGGGUAUCAACAUGUGUAUAUAAUUAGAUAGACACCCACACUAACUGUAAGCUUUCUUUUUUAUACUGACAUUAGAAAGCAGAGCACUUUGCACAAUCUCUCUUCCAUGUUCAUUGAUUUGAUCUCCAUAAACUCAGCUAGGAUUCGAAUCCUAAAUCACUUUAAAAACCAAAUAAUGGAGACUUAAUACAAACAACAAAAUCAAGAAACUCAGUUCUGAUUAGAAGGACAUCAAUAACCGACACGGACAAACAUAACAGAAUCGUCAUAUCUAACAUGGACAUUACUAAUUGAAAUAUUGAGAUUUCUAUUUAUAGUAGCAAUUAGUGACCGAAGCCAAGAAAUUCCAGCAGGUAGCUGUAAAUGGAAAAAGUAAUACUAAAUUUCCAAGAAACUCAAUGCCUGAUUUGCAAGCGGCGAAUAACAAACAAAGGUAGAGAGUUUGCCAAUGUAAGUAAAUAUUAUAAAGCAAUUGAUCAGAUACUGUAGUUGGACACGAAUUCAAAGAAUAAGUCCAAAAGAGGGAUGGAAUGCUAUUUUUGGUAUAGAUGUUCUUUAAGAAUAUCAUGUUCAUUUAAAGAUGCUAACUAUCAUAGUAAAGAAGCAACUAAAUGGUGCUCAAUGAAUUAUUAUAAUACAUAACAAGGAAAAGGCCAAAAUCCCUUUGAUUUCCUUUUCUCAGGGGCCUCCACUCUCCAACCCUUCAACAUAACUGCUUGACUCAGCUGCUUGGGAAAUCAUUGUUUGCUAAUCUUUGUCAUUUAUUUCAGUUUUCAGCAAUAUAAAAGCUGUUUGAUGAGGACAUUAAGCAGGAAACACCAAACAUAUUGAGCUUUAGAUUCAAGAAAUUAGCCAGGCAUAAUUAGAUGAUUCACAUCCUCUCGUAUGUAAUGACAAUUGAAAUAUGUGUGAACUUAUAGGUAUGUACACAUAAGUUGAUACAUUUCGACGUCUGAUUUGACACCAAUCAAUACCCACGAUAUGCACCACUACUACCUUAAAAGAUGCUUACCUACAUUUUGUAAUUUUCACUGUCUCGUAUUAUUUAAUUUUACACUGCGAUUCAACCUACCUGAAAUUAUUUAUUGAGCCACUAAACUUUUUUGUAAAUUACAAAUUAGGCCACUAUAGCAUGCGGUUCGCGUUCCACGCCUUUAUAAAUUCACCUCCCCUGCACUCCCGCCCAUUUACCUACAUUCUCAAAAAAAAAUUAAAAAACUUCAGCUCCAAUUCUCCAAAUGCCCCUCUCUCUCUCUCUCGCUCUCUCCAUCAACUCUCAGUUCUCUUUCAACAUGAAUUCGGUAAACUAUGGUGAGAAUAUCAUAGAAUGCUUUUUCAUUUCAACUAGGACUUUGAUUAAUUUUUACUUUGAUUUUGUUAUUGAAAUUUACAGAUUCUGGCUAAUAACUUGAAGGAAACAUACAUUACAGAGUAUGAGUCUCUUAUGUUCUGCAGUGUUUUCUAUUUUUACUGAUAAAUAGAGAAUGAUUCUCAUUUCAACUACUCUAAUCCACUUUGUGUCACGACCCUAAACUCAAACCUGUUGUGAUGGCUGGCCCCUAUCGAUGGUACUAGGCCAGCCGACUUUCACAAUACAUCAAUAAUUCAUUCAAAGAUGUGCUAAAAAGCCUUUUUAUAAUAGAAUUUUCAUAAAAAGAAACAAGAGUUGAACUCAAUAUAGAAAUGCGGGAAAAAAGCCCCAAACAUCGGGGUGUCACUAAGUCAUGAGCAUCUAAUAAAACUGGUCUGACAAUAACAAGACUAACAUAGUCUGAAAUCCAAAAUACAACUCAAGGAAAGAUAGGAAAGAAGAAAGCGAGGCUGCGAACGCCGGGCAGAUACCUCGCCUCCAAUAACCAGCUAUGAGGACUAUCAGCAAUCUUCGCAACAAAAACUUCUGGAUCUACACAUGAGGCGCAGGGAGUAACGUAAGAACAACAACUUAGAAAGUAACAGAAAUAAAUAAGGAUCUGAGAAGUAGUGACGAACUUUGUACAUCAAUAAUGAAAUCAUAUACUGCCCCUCGGGCAAUCAUCACUCAGUCUUCCCAAUCACUCCAACCUCACAGCCACUCAUUCCUCACAAUCUCUCAGCACUUGGCACUCACACUCAGUAGGUACCUGCACUCACUGGGGGUGUAUACAGACUCCGGAGGGGCUCCUCAGCCAAAGUUGUAUAUCAAUGCCAAUCAUGGCAGAAUCAAUGAAACAUACUGCGGCGUGCAACCCGAUCCCAUAAAUGUCCUCAAAAUCAGGCCUUCGGCCUCACUCGGUCAUCAAUCUCUCCAGUCUCUUGGGCUCUCAGAAAUCAAGAUAAUCAGCCCAAAGAACAAUGACAUGAUGCAUCAAAUAGAAUAACAAAGGCUGGGAUAUGAUAUAAGAAUGCAUGAACAUGAUUGAGUACGGAAUAUCAAUGAAAAUAGUGAGAUGACAGCAAGAAACGACCACUAAGGGUCCCAACAAUACCAGCAUAAAGCCUAAACAUGGUAUUUAGCAUGAUUUACAGUUAAUCUUUCUAUAACAAAUAGGGAGCAUAUAGCUAACAACAGGUUGUUCAACUUUACAGUUUCUACGGGACGGACCAAGUCACAAUCUCCAUCGGUGCACGCCCACAAAAGCGUCACCUAGCAUGUGCGUUACCUCCAAAUAGUCACAUGACACAAAAUCCGGGGUUUCAUACCCUCAAAACCAGAUUUACAACUGUUACUUUCCUCAAUACGAGCAAAUUCCUACUCCGCAAUGCCUUUGCCUCUCGAAUCAGCCUCCAAACAUCCCGAAUCUAGCCACAAGUAAUACAACAUAAUCAAUAAAGGCUAAAUGGAUCAAUUCCACAAGAAAACUACUAAAUUAGAGCCAAAAUCUGAAAUCGACUCAAACUCGGCCCCCGAGACCAUGUCUCAAAAUCCGACAAAAGUGACAAAACUCGAAAGCCAUUCACUCACGAGUCUAACCAUACUAAAUUCAUAAAAAUCCAACUCCAUUUGACCCUUCAAAUCCUCAAAUCAAACUAUCCAAAAUCCCAAGUCUAAAUCUCCCAAAUUUCACCUCAAAAACUCACCAAUUAGUUGCAAAAUCAGUGGGGAAACACCAUUAUUGAAGAUAAAUAAGCACAAGGACCUUACCUCAGUGAUUGCUUCAAAAUCCCUCUAAAAAUCCCCAAAAUCCAAGCUCAAAAUGAUGAAAAUCGUGAAAAAUCCCUAAGUGUUCUAUUUAUAUCUUCUGUCCAGCAAAACCGCAUCUGCGGUCCUUUUGUCGCUUCUGCGACCCCGCCCUUCGGAAAUUCCAUCGCUGGUGCGGAUCCCAAUUAAGCUCUCAGAGUCCGCAUCUGCGAUCAAACACACGCACCUGCGGCCCCCUCUCGCUUCUGCCAUCCUUGCCUUCUUACUCCUUUUUCGCAUCAGCGCUUCUCCUUCCGCAUCUGCGCUUACGCAGAUGCGUACCAACCCUCGCACCUGUACUUCCAGUCCAAACUACCCUUGCCCGCAUCUGCGAGCACCUCUUUGCUUCUGUAGGACCGCACCUGCGGGCUCCCCAUCGCAGGUACGAAAACACCAAAACCAGGCUAACUUCAACAAUCCUUCAACUUUAAACUUGUUCCGUUAAUCAGCCGAAAUCAACCCGAGGCCCUCCAGAUCUCAACCAAACAUACCAACAUAUCCCAUAACAUCAUAAGAACUUAAUCGAACCUUCGAAUCACUCAAAACAACAUCAAAACACCAAAUUACCUCCGGAUUCAAGCCUAAGAACUUCUAAACUUCUGAUUUCCAAAAACGAUGUCAAAACCUAUCAAACCACGUCCGAAUGGCCUCAAAUAUUGCACACAAGUCAGAAAAGACACCACGAACCUACUCCAACUUCCGAAAAUCCGAUCCGACCCCGAUAUCAAAAUUUCUACUACCGGCCAAAAUCGCCAAAAUUCUAACUUUCACCAAUUCAAGCCUAAUUCUACCACGGACCUCCAAAUCACAUUUCAGACGCGCUCCUAAGUCCAAAUUCACCUAAAAGAGCUAACAGAACCAUCAAAAUUCAAAUCCGAGAUCAUUUACACAUAAGUCAACAUUCGGUCAACUUUUUCAACUUAAGCUUCUAAAUAAGAGACUAUGUGUCUCAAUUCACUCCGAAACCACUUCGGACCUGAACCAACUAACCCGAUAUAUGAUAAUAUAGAUGUGGAACACAAAAGAAGUAGGAAAUAAGGGAACAUGGCUAUAACUCUCGAAACGACCGUUCGGGUCGUUACAUCCUCCUCCUCUUAAACAAACAUUCGCCCUCGAACGGGUCUAGAAACAUACCUGGAGCCUCAAAUAGGUGUGGGUAUAUGCUCCACAUCUCUGGAUCGGUCUCCCAAGUAGCAUCCUCCACAAGCUGACCUCUCCAUUUCACCUUCACUGAAGCUAUAUCCUUUGACCUCAACUUUCGAAUAUGAUACCCCAAAAUAGCUACCGGCUUCACAUCAUAAGUCAAAUCACCAUCCAACUGAACCGUGCUAAAUCCAAAACAUGGGAUGGAUCACCAAUAUACUUUCGAAGAAUAGAAACAUGAAAUACUGGAUGCACACUCGAUAAGCUAGAUGGCAAAGCAAGCUCAUAGGCCACCUCCCCAAUCCUCCGAAGCACCUCAAACGGCCCAAUAAACAGAGGGCUCAACUUGACCUUAUUUCCAAAUCUCAUAACACCAUUCAUAGGUGAAACCUUUAGUAAGACCUUCUCCCCAACCAUGUAAGACACAUCAUAGACCUUUCUGUCAGCAUAACUCUUUUGUCUCGACUGCGCCAUGCGAAGCCGCCCUGAAUCAAUUUCACCUUGUCCAAUGCAUCCUGAACCAAGUCUAUACCCAAAAGCCUAACCUCACCCGGCUCAAACCAACCCACUGGAGAUCUACGCCACCUCCCAUAUAAAGCCUCAUACGGAGCCAUCUGAAUACUCGACUGAUAAUUGUUGUUGUAAGCAAACCAGCGAGUGGAAGAAACUGGUUCCGUGAACACCCAAAAUCAAUGAAACAAGCACAUAGCAUGUCCCCCAGUAUCUGAAUAGUGCGCUCAGACUGUCCGUCCAUCUGAGGGUGAAAUGUUGUGCUCAACUCAACCUGAGUGCCCAACUCUCACUUCCCGGCCCUCCAAAACUGCGAUGUAAACUGAUGCCUCUGUCUGAAAUGAUGGAAAAUGGCACCCCAUAAAGGUGAACAAUCUCUCUGAUGUAAAUCUCAGUCAACCGCUCUGAUGAAUAGGUAGUGCUCACAGGAAUGAAGUGUGCGGACUUGUUCAGCCGAUCCACAACCUUCCUCAAAGUCCAUCGAACUUCAUCGCAUUGAACUUCCUCAAAGUCCAUGGGAGCCCAACUACGAAAUCCACGGUGAUCCGCUCUCACUUCCACCUUUGGAAUCUCUAUCUUCUGAAGCAAGUCACCCGGUCUCUAAUGCUCAUAUUUCACCUGCUAACAGUUGAGACACUGAGCUACAAAUCCAACUAUAUCUUUCUUCAUUCUCCUACACUAAUAGUGUUGUCUCAAAUCCUGAUACAUAUUCACGGCACCCGGAUGGACAGAAUACCGCGAACUAUGGGCCUUCUCAAGAAUCAACUCCCGCAGCCCAUCCACAUUGGGCAUACAUAUCCGGACCCGCAUCCUCAAUACCCGGUAUCACCAAUAGUCACAACUCUGGCAUCACUGUGUUGAACCCUGUCCUUGAGGACAAGCAAAUGAGGAUCAUCAUACUGACGCUCUCUGAUGCGAUCGAAUAAGGAAGAUCGAGAAACCACACAAGUUAGGACCCGACUAAGCUCUGAAAUAUCCAAUCUCACAAACAGAUUGGCCAAGGCCUGAACAUCAAUUGCAAGGGGUCUCUCACCAACAGGAAGGAAUGCAAGACUACCCAUACUCACUGCCUUUCUUCUCAAGGCAUCGGCUACCACAUUGUCCUUUCUCGGAUGGUACAAAAUGGUAAUAUCAUAGUCCUUUAGCAGCUCCAACAAUCUCCACUGCCUCAAAUUGUGAUCCUUCUACUUGAACAAGUGCUGGAGGCUACAAUGAUCAGUAAACACCUCACAAGACACACCAUAGAGAUAAUGCCUCCAAAUCUUCAUUGCGUGAACAAUGGCAGCCAACUCCAAAUCAUGAACAAGGCAGUUCUUCUCAUUGGGCUUCAACUAACGUGAAUCAUAAGCAAUCACUCUACCCUCCUACAUCAAAACACACCCAAUGCCAACCCAAGAAGCAUCACAAUAUAUUGUAUAAGAGCCUGAAGCUGAUGGUAAAACUAACAUUGGAGCUAUGUCAAGGCAGUCUUGAGUUUCUAAAAGCUCGCCCCAUACUCAUCCGACCACCUGAAAGGAGCACCCUUUGGGUCAAUUUGGUCAAGGGCCAUGUAAUAGAGGAGAAACCCUAAACGAACUAACGGUAGUAGCUAGCCAAACCAAGAAAGCUCUGAAUCUUUGUGGCUGAGGACGGUCUGGGCCAACCCUGAAUCGCCUUUAUCUUCUUCGGAUCAACUUGAAUACCCUCACUGGACACCACGUGUCCCAAGAAUGCUAUAGAACUGAGCCAAAACUCACACUUUGAGAACUUGGCAUAAAGCUUCUCCUCCCUCAGUCGUUGUAAUACAACCCUCAAAUGCUCGGCGUGCUCCUCCUAGCUAUGAGAGUACACCAUAAUAUCAUCAAUGAAUACAAUGACAAACGAGUCGAGAUAAGGCCGAAACACACUGUUCAUCAAAUGCAUGAAUGCUACUGGGGCAUUGGUCCACCCAAAAGACAUCACGAGGAACUCAUAAUGGCCAUAAUAGGUCCUGAAAGCUGUCUUACGAAUGUCCGAGUCCCUAAUCUUCAGCUGGUGAUACCCUGACCUCAAAUCGAUCUUGGAGAACACCCUCACUCCCUGAAGUUGGUCAAACAAACCUCAAGACAAGGCAAAGGAUACUUGUUCUUGAUUGUGACUUUGUUCAAUUGCUUGUAAUCAAUGCACAUUCUCAUAGUGCCAUCCUUUUUCUUCACAAAUAGAAUUGGUGCACCCCAAGGUGACACACUAGACCGAAUAAACCCCUUAUUAAGGAGUUCCUGAAGCUGCUCCUUUAAUUCUUUUAACUCCACCGGUGCCAUACGAUACGAUGGAAUAGAAAUAGGCUGAGUGAUCGACACCAAAUCAAUACCAAAGUCAAUAUCCCUAUCCGGCGCCAUGCUCGGUAGGUGUGCAGGAAACACAUCCGAAAAAUCUCACACCAUCGGAACUGAAUCAAUAGUAGGAGUCUCUGCACUAACAUCCCUCACAAAGGAUAAAUAAGAAAGACAACCCUUCUCAACCAUCCACUGGGCCUUCAAGAACGAAAUCACUCUACUGGGAACAUAAUCCAAUGAACCUUGCCACUCAAUCCGUCGCAACACCGGCAUAACCAACGUCACCGUCUUAGCGUGACAGUCCAGAAUAGCAUGAAACAGAAACAACCAAUCCAUGCCUAAUAUCACAUCAAAGUCAACCAUACUACGGAGUAACAAAUCAACUCUAGUCUCUAGUUCCCCAAUCGUCACUACACACGACCGGUAUACAUGUUCCAUAACAAUAGUAUUGCCUACCGAUAUAGAUACACGAACAGAUGAAACUAGAGACUCACAGGGCAUGUCCAGAUAAUAAGAAAAAUAUGAUGACACAUAUGAAUAGGUGGAACCAGGUUCAAAUAAUAUAGAAGCAUCUCGAUGACAUACAGAGAUAAUACCUGUGAUCAUUGUGUUUGAAGCAAUGGAAUAUGGUAUGGCAGAGAGUGCAUAGAAAUGGGCCUGACCACCACCUGAUCGACCUCCCCUUCUAGGGCGACCCCUAGCUGACUGAACUCCACCCUGAGCUGGCUGGGCGAGUAGUGAAGUAACUGAGGCUGAAGAUGCAGCCUGACUCCUCUGUUGUGCUGGACCUUCGUGACAAUGAGGACACUGCCUCCACACAUGCCCAAACUCCCCACACUCAAAACAACUCCCUGGUGCUGGUGACGGGGACUGAAGGGAGCCCCGAGCACCGGGAUAAUUGGUAGAAGAACCUGGCAUAGAGGAGACCUGAACCGAUGGAGCACGGGACGAACUCUAGGUUGGGAGGGUACUGAGUGAUGAGUGGCCCUGAUGAGAAUUGUGAGAACUAUGGCACGAUGAUGUACCAAGGUGAACUUGGUAGGCCGUCUGAGCAUGCCUGUAAGGAUGACCUCUGCUGUGGUUAAACUGACCCCCAGAAGGAACACCACCAAAGCUACCUGAACCACGAGACCUCUUGGCCUCCCUCUCAACCCGCUCCAGGCUACGAACCGACUCUAUCUCCCGAGUAAUGCCAACAACCUCAUCAAAGGUAGCAGCACCAAAUACCCUCUCUCUGGUCAUAAGCACCUGCAACUAAAAUGUGAGGCCAUCAAUGAACCUCCUGAUCCUCUCCCUGUCUGUGGUAACCAACUAAACAGCAUGACGGGCCAACUCAGAAAAUCUCACCUCGUACUACAUCAUCUUCAUGUCAUCCUCAUGCAACCUCUCGAACUGCUUGCAUAGCUCCUCUCUACGAGAAAGAACUACUACCAUGUAAGUGGCGCUACACCAACCGGCCUAUGACUCUCAUAAGCCUCCCACCAAGUGAAGGCAGCUCCAGUGAUCUGAAAUGUAGUGAAUGAGACCCCACGGAUCUCCAGAAUACCAGCUGUACGGAGAAUCCUCUGACACUUGUCCAAGAAACCUUGGGCAUCCUUGCCCUCUGUACCGUUGAAAGUUGGAGGCUAGAGACUCCCAAACCUCUCCAAUCUAUGCUGCUCAUCAUCAGGCAUGACUGGAACCACAUAAUCCUGAGCAGGUACAAUCGGCUGGGCUAGUGGUGCCCCCGGUGUCUGGAGUCCCUGUACCACCUACUUUGGGUACGGCCGGCAGGAGUCUGAGUACGUUCCCCCACCUGGGAAGUGGCUGCUGUGAUAGAAACAAAGACCGCUUGAGCAAGACUGGUGCACAUUGUCAUAAUUUGAGCUAAGAUUUCCAAAAGAUCUAGGAUCACGAAGGGCACAGCUGGUGCCUAAGCUAGUCCCGCUAGUGUAUCCACAACUGGGACUUGAUCCUGAACUCGAGCAACUGGUAGGUUUGCAGUUGCUACCCUAGCUGUUGUGCGGGCUACACCUCUGCCCCUACCACGACCUUGACCUCGAUCGCGACCUCGGCAUCUCGCGGCCCUGACUGGUGGCACUAGUUGGUUGUCCGUCCUGCCCAGUAGCAUGUGUCCUCACCAUCUAUGAGAGAAUAGAAUAACAGAAGUUUAGUUACCAGUAUCAACAGAUUUGCACAAUAAAAAUUCAAGAAUGUGAAGUUUCCUAAGGGUUCUGCAGCCUCUCAAAGAUAAGUACAAAUAUCUCCGUACCGAUCUGCAAGACUGUACUAAACCUGCUCAUGACUCGUGAAACCUAUGUAACCUAGGUUCUGAUACCAACUUGUCAUGACCCUAAACUCAAACCUGUCGUGAUGGCACCUAUCGAUGGUACUAGGCCAGCCGACUUUCACAAUACUUCAAUAAUUCAUUCAAAGAUGUGCUAAAAAGGCCUUUUUAUAAAAGAAUUUUCAUAAAAAGAAACAAGAGUUUAACUCAAUAUAGAAAUGCAGAAAGAAAGCCCCAAACAUUGGGGUGUUCACUAAGUCGUGAGCAUGUAAUAAAACUGGCCCGAUAAUAAUAAGACUAACAUAGUCUAUAAUCCAAAAUACAACUCAAGGAAAGGGAUGGAAGAAGAAAGCAAGGCUGCGAACGUCGGGCAGCUACCUCGCUAUCUCCAAUAACCAGCUACGAGGACUAUCAGCACUCUCCGCGAUGAACAACUCCUGGAUCCGCACACGAGGCGUAGGGAGUAACGUGAGUACCAACUCAGUAAGUAACAGAAAUAAAUACGGAACUGAGAAGUAGUGAUGUGCUAUGCAAAUACAGUUCAUUUCAUAAAAUUCAGUAAAGUGUAGGCAUGCUUUACAUCCAAAGUUUAGGUCAAAUCAAUUUGUUUAAGUCAAAUUUAGGUAAAGUUAGAUAAAAUAUCUUUCAACAGUUCUCAAACACAAGGACAUAAGGCAACUAUGUGCAUCAAUAAUGAAAUCAUAUACUUCCCCUCGGGAAAUCAUCACUCGGUCCUCCCAAUCACUCCACCUCACAGCCACUAAUUCCUCACAAUUGCUCGGCACUCGGCGCUUGCACUCAGUAGGUAUCUGCGCUCACUGGGGGUGUGUACAGACUCCGGAGGAGCUUCUUCAGCCCAAGCGCUAUAUUAAUGCCAAUUAUGGCAGAACCAAUAAAACAUGCUGCGACAUGAAGCACGAUCCCAUAAAUGUCCUCACAAUCAGGACUUCGGCCUCACUAAGUCAUCAAUCUCUCCAAUCUCUCGUGCUCUCAGAAAUCAAGAUAAUCAACCCAAACAAUAAUGACAUGAUGCAUCAAAUAGAAUAACAGAGACUGAGAUAUGAUAUAAGAAUGCAUGAACAUGACUGUGUACGAAAUAUCAAUAAAAAUAGUGAGAUGACAGCAAGAAAUAACUACUAAGGGUCCCAAUAAUACCGACAUAAAGCCUAAACAUGGUAUCUAGCAUGAUUUAUAGUCAAUCUUUCUAUAACACAUAGAGAGCAUAUAGCUAACAACAGGUUGUUUAACUUUAAAGUUUCUAUGGGACGAACCAAGUAACAAUCCCCAUCGGUGCACACCCGUCAUCUAGAAUGUGUGUCACCUCCAAAAUAGUCACAUGACACAAAAUUCGAGGUUUCAUACCCUCAAGACCAAAUUUACAACUGUUACUUACCUCAAUCUGAGCAAAUUCCUACUCCGUAAUGCCUUUGCCUCUUGAAUCGGCCUCCAAACAUCCCGAAUCUAGCCACAGGUAAUACAACACAAUCGAUAAAGGCUAAAGGGAUCAAUUCCACAAGAAAACUACUUAAUUAUAGCCAAAAUUCGAAAUCGACUCAUACUCGGGCCUCGGCCCCAAGUCUCGAAAUCUGACAAAAGUCACAAAACUCGAAAGCUCAUUCACUCACGAGUCUAACCAUACUAAAUUCAUCAAAAUCCAACAUCAUUUUCCCCUCCAAAUCCCCAUAACUCACUCUCCAAUUCUCAAGACCUAAUCUCCCAAAUUUCACCUCAAAAACUUACCAACUAGGUGUAAAAUCAGUGGGGAAAUGCCAUUAUUGAAGAUAAAUAAGCACAAGGACCUUACCUCUGUGAUUGCUUCAAAAUUAGUCUCAAAAUCCCAAAAAUCCGAGCUCAAAAUGAUGAAAAUGGUGAAAAAUCUCGAAGUGUUCUAUUUAUACCUUCUGUCCAGCAAAACCGCAUCUGCGGUCUCUUUGUCGCUUCUGCGACACCGGACCUGCGGAAAUUCCAUUGCAGGUGCGGAUCCUACUUAAGCUCUCAGAGUCCCCAUUUGCAGUCAAACACACGCACCUGCGGGCCCCGCCCACUUCUACGAUCUUGCCUUCUUACACCUUUUCCAUAUCUGCACUUCUCCUUCUGCAUCUGUGCUUAUGCAGAUGCGUACCAACAGUAACGACCCAGCCGGUCGUUUCAUGAAUUAUAGCCCUAUUUACCCCAUUUCUGCUUCCUUUUGUUUUCUUCAACAGUAUUGUAUUGUAUCGUGUCGGUUGGUUCGGGUCCGGAGUGGUUUCAGAGUGGGAUGAGACACUUAGUCUCCUAUUUAAAAGCUUAAGUUGAAAAAAUCAACCGGAUGUUGACUUAUAUGUAAACGACCUCAGAUUUGAAUUUUGAUGGUUCUGUUAGCUUCGUUAGGUGAUUUUUGACUUAAGAGCACAUCCGGAAUGUGAUUUGGAGGUCCGUGGUAGAAUUAGGUAUGAAUCGGCGAAAGUUGGAGUUUUGGUGAUUUUGGCCGGUAGUGGAAAUUUUAUAUCGGGGUCAGAAUGGAAUUUCAGAAAUUAGAGUAGGUUCGUGGUGUCAUUUCUGGCUUGUGUGCAAAAUUUAGGGUCAUUCGGACGUGAUUUGAUAGGUUUCGGCGUUGUUUGUGAAAUUUAAAAGUUUAGAAGUUCUUAGGCUUGAAUCCUAGAGUAAUUCGAUGUUUUGAUUCUGUUUUGAGCCUUCUGAAGGUUUGACCAAGUUUGUAUGUUGGUAUAUGUCUUGUUAGUAUGUUUGGUUGAGGUCUCGAGGGGCUCGGGAUUAUUUCGUAUGGUUAACAGAGAGUUUAGAACUUGGAAAAUACAGCUAAAGCUGCUGGUUCUGUGUCAACCGCACCUGCGGAGUGGGAACCGCAGAUGCGGAAGUGGAGCGCAUAUACGAGAUAUUGCCUGGGACGGAAUAAUUACAAAAGCAGGCAGGGCCCGCAGGUACACAUCCGCAGGCGCGAUUGUUUAACAGCAGAUGCGGACUUUGGGUUAGUAAGUGAGAUCCGCACCUGCGAUGAGAAAUCCGCAGGUGCGGCGUCGCAGAAGCGUGAUGUUGACUGCAGGUGCGGUUUCGCUGGGCAGAAAGUAUAUAAAGGAGACUUCGCGAAUUUUGCUCAUUUCCACCAUUUUUGAAAACGGGUUUUGGAGCUUUUGGAGUGAUUAUAAAGGGAGAUUCAAGGGGUUUCAGUGAGGUAAGUUGCUUGAGCUCUAGUACUCCUAUCUAUGGUGUUUUCCCGUUGUUCAAUCAAUUAAUUAGUGGAAAUUAGGGGUGAAAAUGAGGGGUUAGGGCUUGGGAUUUUGGAGAGUUGAUUGGAGGAUUUGAGAGACCAAAUGGAGUCGGAUUUUGAUAAAUUUUGUAUAUAUAGACUCGUGAGUACAUGAACUUUCUAGUUUUGUGACUUUUGUCAGAUUUUGAGAUGUGAGCCCGGGGCCGAGUUUGAGUGAAUUUCAGUAUUUGUUUUGUCCAACUAAGUAAUAUUUCUUGUGGAAUUGGUUCCUUGGCCUAUAUUGAUCGCAUUGUAUUGCUUUUGGCUAGAUUCGGGACGUUUGGAGGCCAGUUCGAGAGGGAAAGGCAUCGCGGAGCAGGAUUUUGCUCGAAUUGAGGUAAGUAAUGGUUAUAAAUCUGGUCCUGAGGGUAUGAGACCCCGGAUAUCAUGUCGUAUGACUAUUUUGGAGGUGAUACACAUUCUAGGUGACGGGCGUGUGGGUGUGCACUAUAGGGAUUGUGACUUGGUCCGUCCCGUGAGACUGUGGAAUCAAUUAGCCUAUUGUUUAAUACAUGUUCCCUCUGUUUUCAUGGAAAUUGACUAUACUUCAUGCUAGAAAUCACCUAUCUUUGUUGAGACCCAUGAGGUCGUGUACUUACUGAAUUACCUGCUACUUGUUGUUUUGUUCUCAGUCGUGAUAUUACUUGUGUAUUUUACAUCCAUCCCUUCAUAUUUUAUCAUUGAUACAUGUUAUUAUCCUCGUUUGGGCUGUAUUAUAUGUUUUCUGAGAGCCCGAGGGACUGGUGAGAUUGGUGAGUGAGAUAGGGCCUAAGUGCCGAGCUAAGAGCUAUAUUAGUGUAUAUGGAUAGGGUUGCACGCCGCAACGAGCCUCAGGGCUAUAUAUGUAUAUUAGAUCGGGUUGUACGCCGCAAUGAGCCUUUAGCCUGAUUCUUUAUAUUGGAUCGAGUUUCACGCCGCAACGAGCCUUAUGACUGUUUAUAUAUUGGAUCGGGCUAUAUGUCGCAGCGAUAUAGCGCUUGGGCUGAAGGAUUCCCUCUAGAGUCUGCACACCCCUAGUGAGCGCAUGUACCUAUUGAGUGUGAUUAUUAAGGGCUGAGAACCCAAUGGUUGAGAUGUUGAGUUGAGCGGAGUGAUUGUGCCCUUGAGAGACUGUACUUGCUUUCUGUUAAUUGUUGCACUUAGUUGUUAUUUGUCCUUGUUGUACAAAUUUCUGGAGAACUUGAUACUUGGUUUACUUGUGCACGAACUGAUGUGAUCUAAAUUGAAGAAUUUUAAAAUAUGAUUGUUCUUACUUGAAAGAUAUUGAGUAACUGUAUUUGCAUAGCUCGUCACUACUUCUCAGUUCCUUUUUUGUUUCUUUUACUUACUGAGUUGGAAGUACUCAUGUUACUCUGUACCUUGUGUGUAGAUCCAGGUGAGACUGGUCGCAGGGGCCGUUAAGCUUGUGCGUAGUUGACUGCUCGGAGAUCUACGAGGUAGCUACAAGCGUCCGCAACCCUUGGCUCUCCUUCCAUCAUUAUCUUUCUUCCUGUUUUAUAGAAAUUGACGGAUUAUUGUAAACCUUGAUUCUCUAAAAGUUGUAGAUGCUCAUGACUUAGUGACACCCCGAUGUUGGAUCUUUUUCUAAUAUGAAAUUUCAGUAUGAAAAGGGCUUUUAUCCAUCUUAAGGAAAUAUCGAAUUGUUUUUGAAAGGUGUCGGCUUGCCUAGUUCCACGAUAGGCGCCAUCACGAUCGGGUUUUGUUUUGGGUCAUGACAAGUUGGUGUCAGAGCCUAGGUUACAUAGGUCUCACGAGUCAUGCGCAGGUCUAGUAGAGUCUUGCGGAUCGGUACAGAGACAUUUGUACUUAUCUUCGACAGGCUGCAAAAUCCUUAGGAAACUUCACAUUCUUGAAAUCUUAUCGUGCGAAUAUGUUGAUAUUGGUAACUAAUUUUUUGUUAUUCUAUUCUCUCAUAGAUGGUGAGACACGUGCUACCGGUCAGGAUGGACAGCCACCAGUACCACCAGUUAGGGCCGUGAGGGCUGAGGUGGCGGUCGAGGCCAUGGUAGGGGCAGGGGUGUAGCCCGCAUAGCAGCUAAGGAAGCACCUACAGAUCAACCAGCCACCCUAGUUCAUGAUCAGGUCCCAGUUGUGGAUGCACCAGCAGGACCAGCUUAGGCACUAGCUGUGCCUAUUGUGACUCCGUCUUUAGGAGACCUUAGCUCAGAUUCUGAUCGUGUGCACCAGUCUUGCUCAGUUAGUCUUUGUUACUACUACAACAGCUACUUCCCAGGCUAGGGGAGGCACUCAGACUCCCGCCGCCCGUACACCCGAGCAGGUUGUUCAAGGACUUCAGACAUCGGGGGUACCACCAGCCCAGCCGGUUGCACCUGCUAAGGAUUAUGUGGUUCUAGUCAUGCCUGAUGACGAGCAACGUAUGUGUCGUAGUCCCGCAGAGAGGAGCUACACAGAUAGUUCAAGCAGUUGCGUCAGGAUGAUAUGACUGUGAUGCAGUACGAGAUGAGAUUUUCUGAGUCAGCCCGUCAUGCUGUUUGGUUGGCUCCUACAGACAGGGAGAGGAUCAGGAGGUUCGUGGAUGGUCUCGCAUAUCAGCUACGGAUUCCUAUGACCAGAGAGAGGGUGUCUAGUGCUUCUUUUGAGGAGGUGGUUGACAUUGCUCGAGAGCUAGAGUCGGUUCGCCGCCAGGAGCAAGUUGAGAGGGAGGCCAAGAGGCCUCGGGGAUCUGGUAGUUUUGGUGGUGUUUCUUCUAGAGGUCAGUUUCACCACGGCAGGGGUCGUUCCUUCAGGCAUGCUCAGACGGCCCGUCCAGGCCACCGUGGUGGAUCAUCUGGCAAUGGUUCUCACAGUUCACAUUAGGGCCACUCAUCUCUCAGUGCCCUCCCAGCUUAGAGUUUGACUCAUGAUCGUUAGCUCAGGGUUCAUCCAUUCCAGGUUCUUCUACCAGUUAUCCCUGUCACGACCCAAACUGAUAGGCCGCGACGGGCACCCGAUACGUUACUCAACCGAGUACCAACGUAAUGUAUCUUUCUUAUUACAUCAUCAUAUACAUGUGACAUACGGGCCUAAUAGGUCAACAUGAUCUUUUAUAAACACGAAACAUAGGCCGAUAAAGCCGCACAAUCUUUCACGUAUACGACAUAUGUCUACAAGCCUCUAAGAGUAUAUAAAUGUCAUAAAGGUCGGGACAGAGUCCCGCCAUACCAAGAAAUACACGUCUAAAUCAUACUAACCAAACACGCAACUCCGAAGCAAAUGGAGCGCACCAAUAUCUUCCGCUGAGCUGAUAGCCUACUUGGAGGGCUCUCGACCUGUCUACCUGGACCUGCGAGCAUGAAACGCAGCAUCCCCAAGCAAAAGAGACGUCAGUAUGAAUAGUGUACCAAGUAUGUAAGACACAUAAAUAGAUACAUAAGAGACAUGGAAGAAAUAUAGAGUACAUGACUCAAUCUGUAAGUCUGAAUAACUUUGUAAAUCAUAUAUUACUUUUAGUGUCAUGCAUAUGCGUAUGAAUGUCAUGUCGUACAUAGGUACAUGUUUCAUAACAUCAUCAGNNNNNNNNNNNNNNNNNNNNNNNNNNNNNNNNNNNNNNNNNNNNNNNNNNNNNNNNNNNNNNNNNNNNNNNNNNNNNNNNNNNNNNNNNNNNNNNNNNNNNNNNNNNNNNNNNNNNNNNNNNNNNNNNNNNNNNNNNNNNNNNNNNNNNNNNNNNNNNNNNNNNNNNNNNNNNNNNNNNNNNNNNNNNNNNNNNNNNNNNNNNNNNNNNNNNNNNNNNNNNNNNNNNNNNNNNNNNNNNNNNNNNNNNNNNNNNNNNNNNNNNNNNNNNNNNNNNNNNNNNNNNNNNNNNNNNNNNNNNNNNNNNNNNNNNNNNNNNNNNNNNNNNNNNNNNNNNNNNNNNNNNNNNNNNNNNNNNNNNNNNNNNNNNNNNNNNNNNNNNNNNNNNNNNNNNNNNNNNNNNNNNNNNNNNNNNNNNNNNNNNNNNNNNNNNNNNNNNNNNNNNNNNNNNNNNNNNNNNNNNNNNNNNNNNNNNNNNNNNNNNNNNNNNNNNNNNNNNNNNNNNNNNNNNNNNNNNNNNNNNNNNNNNNNNNNNNNNNNNNNNNNNNNNNNNNNNNNNNNNNNNNNNNNNNNNNNNNNNNNNNNNNNNNNNNNNNNNNNNNNNNNNNNNNNNNNNNNNNNNNNNNNNNNNNNNNNNNNNNNNNNNNNNNNNNNNNNNNNNNNNNNNNNNNNNNNNNNNNNNNNNNNNNNNNNNNNNNNNNNNNNNNNNNNNNNNNNNNNNNNNNNNNNNNNNNNNNNNNNNNNNNNNNNNNNNNNNNNNNNNNNNNNNNNNNNNNNNNNNNNNNNNNNNNNNNNNNNNNNNNNNNNNNNNNNNNNNNNNNNNNNNNNNNNNNNNNNNNNNNNNNNNNNNNNNNNNNNNNNNNNNNNNNNNNNNNNNNNNNNNNNNNNNNNNNNNNNNNNNNNNNNNNNNNNNNNNNNNNNNNNNNNNNNNNNNNNNNNNNNNNNNNNNNNNNNNNNNNNNNNNNNNNNNNNNNNNNNNNNNNNNNNNNNNNNNNNNNNNNNNNNNNNNNNNNNNNNNNNNNNNNNNNNNNNNNNNNNNNNNNNNNNNNNNNNNNNNNNNNNNNNNNNNNNNNNNNNNNNNNNNNNNNNNNNNNNNNNNNNNNNNNNNNNNNNNNNNNNNNNNNNNNNNNNNNNNNNNNNNNNNNNNNNNNNNNNNNNNNNNNNNNNNNNNNNNNNNNNNNNNNNNNNNNNNNNNNNNNNNNNNNNNNNNNNNNNNNNNNNNNNNNNNNNNNNNNNNNNNNNNNNNNNNNNNNNNNNNNNNNNNNNNNNNNNNNNNNNNNNNNNNNNNNNNNNNNNNNNNNNNNNNNNNNNNNNNNNNNNNNNNNNNNNNNNNNNNNNNNNNNNNNNNNNNNNNNNNNNNNNNNNNNNNNNNNACUCUUUUCAACUUUCAUAUUUUUCUCAGACCCAUGAACAGAUGAUAAAAUAUUAUGACACACGGAAAUUCAAGAACAUAGAUAUCUCUAAUACUUCUAAGAAUAGAAUUAUUCAUGGAAUUUGUGCAUUUGCACGUUUCAUUCGUAUCGUAUGGAUCAUGCCAAAAGAAAGAAUGGAUAGUCUUAACAUACCUGAGUCGAUUCCCUUAAUAAUCCCUCAGAACCGCAAUUUCACGCAUGUUUUAUUUUCUUACAAACUUUGGAGCUUCAUUCGUUACUUUUUAAAGACUUCAUAUCACUCCUUUUGGCUUUUGAGAUUCCUCCGUAUGCAAGCCUAAGUAUAAGUGUAUAAGAAAAUUUCUAUCUCAUGUGAUUCUUUGGUGAAUGAUUGUUGGCAGUGUCGUUGAUUAUGUACUUGAGAUAAUUAGCUUGAGUGCCCGAAUCUUUUCUUAUUUCUCCCGUAAUUCCUCUUUGCCUUCAUUCAUUUUGUGAUCAUGUCUACUAAGUACUACUAUAUAUUAUAUUAUUUCAUGUUUUACUUAAAUGGAAGUGCUAUUUGUUGGAGGAAGUGUAGUAAAGGGUUUAGAUAAGAAUGAUCAUGUUCCAUUAACGUGGAUCACAACAUGGUUAGCCACCUAUGUGUGAUUUUUAAGAAUCACAUUCUUGUGACUUUAUGGGCUGCCACGUAAUUCCAUUGGGUGGGGAUUUAAACAUUAUUCAAUAAUCAAUUAAUUAAUUAGGUAAUAUCCCGCUACCCGGUAAUUAACCAAUUACCCACAUAAUUAAGAAUUGUCUCAAAUUACUUAAAAUUCUACUUAUUUUUAAUACACUUUAUACAUCCUACUACCAAAGUCAUAUGGUAUCUUGUAUGGUACUAGUCCAUAAAUAUCGGGUAUUUUUGCUCAGCCACAUUUUCCCCAAUAUUCCAAACUUGGACGAAAAUUCAUUUUCUUUGACUUUCUUCCCUUCUCACCUUCACGAAUUUACUCAUCACUUAUAAUCUCCAAAUAAUCUUUUUCUUGGACUGAUAUCAAUUACCUUACGACAAAUUCAUCAUACAAUACUACAGGGUGAAAUAUCGUCGUAACUUAAUAUUGCGAAGCAUAACAUCACCGUAAUGCAAUACUGCAAGGCGUAACAUCAUCGUAAUAUUGCGGGGUGUAACAAUCCCGGUGCUCGAGGCUCCCUUCAGUCCCCAACACCAGCAUUGGGGAGUUGCAACGAGUGUGGAGAGUUUGGUCAUAUCAGGAGGCAGUGUCCCCGCCUAGUGGGAGGUCCAGCUUAGCAGUAGAGGUGUCAGACUUCAACUUUAGCACCAGUCACUUCACCACCCGCUCAGCCAGGUCGGGGUAGAGGUCAAUCAGCUAGGGGUUGCCCCAUAGGGGGAGGCCGAUUAGGUGGAGGUCAGGUCGUUUCUAUGCACUCCUUGCCAGACUCGAUGAUAUUGCUUCAUAUGUUGUGAUCAUAGGUAUUAUCUCAGUUUGUCACAAGGAUCCCUCUGUAUUAUUUGAUCCUGGUUCCACUUUUUCAUAUGUGUCGUCAUAUUUUUCUCAUUAUUUGGAUACGCCCCGCGAGUCUUUUGUUUCAUCUGUUCAUGUAUCUACUCUUGUGGGCGAUACUAUUGUUCUGGACCGCAUAUAUCGGUCUUGUGUGGUGACUAUUGGGGGUUUGGAGACCCGAGCAGACCUUUUGCUGCUUAAUGUGGUUGAUUUUGAUGUGAUAUUGGGCAUGGAUUGGUUGUCUCUGUGUCAUGCUAUUCUGGACUAUCAUGCUAAGACGGUGACAUUAGCUAUGCCGGGGGUGCCAUGGUUUGAGAAGCGAGGUUCGUCGGAUUAUGUUCCUAGUAGAAUGAUUUCAUACUUGAAGGCCUAGCGGAUGGUUGGGAAGGGUUAUCUUUCUUAUUUGGCCUUUGUGAGGGAUGUCAGUGUAGAGACUCCUACUAUUGAUUUUAGUUCUAGUGGUGAGAGAUUUUUCGGAUGUGUUUCCUACAGACCUGUCGGGCAUGCUGCCGGACAGGGAUAUUGACUUCGGUAUUGAUUUGGUGCUGGGCACUCAGCCCAUUUCUAUUCUAUCGUAUCGUAUGGCACCAGCGGAGUUAAGAGAAUUGAAGGAGCAGCUUCAGAAACUCCUUGAUAAGGGGUUUAUUCGGCCAAGUGUGUCACCUUGGGGUGCACCAGAUCUAUUUGUAAAGAAGCAGGAUGACACUAUGAGAAUGUGCAUUGAUUGUAGUUGAACAAAGUCACAAUCAAUAACAAGUAUCAUUUGCCUCGUAUUAAUGAUUUAUUUGACUAGCUUCAGGGAGAGAGGGUGUUCUCCAACAUUGAUCUCAAGUCAAGGUAUCACCAGUUGAAGAUUAGGGACUCAGACAUUCUUAAGACAGCUUUCAAGACCCGAUAUGGUCAUUAUGAGUUCCUUGUGAUAUCUUUUGGGCUGACUAAUGCCCCAGCAGUGUUCAUGCAUUUGAUGAAUAGCGUGUUUCGGCCUUAUCUUGACUCGUUUGUUAUUGUAUUCAUUGAUUAUAUCCUGGUGUACUCUCGUAGCUAGGAGGAGCACGCCUAGCAUUUGAGAGUUGUAUUGCAGCGGUUGAGGGAGGAGAAACUUUAUUCUAAGUUCUUCAAGUGUGAGUUUUGGCUCAGUUUAGUGGUGUUCUUAGGGCACGUGGUGUCCAGUGAGGGUAUUUAGGUCGAUCUGAAGAAGAUAGAGGCGGUCCAGAGUUGGCCCAGACCGUCCUCAGCCACAGAAAUUCGUAGCUUUCUUGGUUUGGCGGGUUAUUACUGUCGAUUCGUUCAGGAAUUUUCAUCUAUUGCACCACCCUUGACCAAAUUGACCCAACAGGGUGCUCCUUUCAAGUGGUCGGACGAGUGUGAGGCGACCUUUCAGAAGCUCAAGACUGCCUUGACCAUGACUCCAGUGUUAGUUCUGCCAUCAGCUUCAGGUUCUUAUACAGUAUAUUGUGAUGCUUCUUGGGUCGGCAUUGGGUGUGUGUUGAUGCAGAAGGGUAGAGUGAUUGCUUAUGCUUCUCGUAAGUUGAAGCCCCAUGAGAAGAACUACCUUGUUCAUGAUUUGGAGUUGGUUGCCAUUGUUCACGCGUUGAAGAUUUGGAGGCACUAUCUCUAUGGAUUAUGAUAUUACCAUCUUGUACCAUCCGGGAAAGGCCAAUGUGGUGUCCAAUGCCUUGAAUAGAAAGGCAGUGAGUAUGGGUAGUCUUGCAUUCCUUCCUAUUGGGGAGAGACCUCUGAUAUUCAGGCCUUGGCCAAUCAGUUCGUGAGAUUGGAUAUUUCGGAGCCCAAUCGGGUCCUAGCUUGUGUGGUUUCUCAGUCUUUCCUAUUUGAUCGCAUCAGAGAGCGCCAGUAUGAUGAUCCUCAUUUGUUAGUACUCAAGGGCAGAGUUCAGCACAGUGAUGCCAGAGAUGUGACUAUUGGUGAUGACGGGGUAUUGAGGAUGUAGGGCCGGAUAGGUGUGCCCAAUGUAGAUGGGCUUCGGGAGUUGAUUCUUGAGGAGGCCCAUAGAUCGCGGUAUUCCAUCCAUUUAGGUGCCGCAAAGAUGUAUCAAGAUUUGAGAUAACACUAUUAUUGGAGGAGGAUGAAGAAGGACAUAGUUGGGUUUGCAGCUCGGUGUCUCAAUUAUCAGCAGGUGAAAUAUGAACAUCAGAGACGUGGUUGUUUGCUCCAGCAGAUAGAGAUUCCAGAGUGGAAGUGGGAACGGAUCACCAUGGAUUUCGUAGUCAGGCUCCCACGGACUUCGAGGAAGUUUGAUACUAUUUGGGUAAUUGCGGAUCGGCUAACCAAGUUUGCACAUUUCAUUCCUGUGUGUACUACUUAUUCUUUAGAGUGGUUGGCUGAGAUUUAUAUCCGAGAGAUUGUUUGCCUGCAUGGUGUCCCAAUUUCCAUCAUUUUAGAUAGAGGUACUCAGUUUACAUCGUAGUUUUGGAGGGCUGUGCAGCGAGAGUUGGGUACUCAGGUUGAGUUGAGCACAGCUUUCACCCUCAGACGGACGGGCAGUCCGAGUGUACUAUUCAGAUAUUGGAGGACAUGUUGCCCGUUUGUGUCAUUGACUUUGGGGGUUCAUGGGACCUGUUUCUUCCGCUCACGGAGUUUGCAUAUAACAACAGUUAUAAGUUGAGUAUUCAGAUGGCCCCGUAUGAGGCUUUAUAUGGGAGGCGGUGUAGAUCUCCAGUAGGUUGGUUUGAGCCGGGUGAGGCUAGGCUUUUUGGGUACAGACUUGGUUCAGGAUGCAUUAAACAAGGUGAAGGUGAUUCAGAAGCGGCUUCGCACAGCGUAGUCUAGGCAGAAGAGUUAUACGGAUAGGAAGGUCUGUGAUGUGUCUCAUAUGGUUCGGGAGAAGGUUUUGCUGAAGGUUUCACCCAUGAAGGGUGUUAUGAGAUUUGGGAAGAAGGGCAAGCUGAGCCCUCGGUUCAUUGGGAAUUUUGAGGUGCUUCGGAGGAUUGGGGAGGUGGCUUAUAAGCUUGCUUUACCACCUAGCUUGUCAAGUGUGCAUCCAGUAUUUCAUGUUGCUAUGCUCUGAAAGUAUAUCGGCGAUCCGUCUUAUGUUUUGGAUUUCAACAGGGUUCAGUUAGAUGGUGAUUUGACUUAUGAUGUGGAGCCAGUGGCUAUUUUAGAGCGGCAGGUCCGAAAGUUGAGAUCAAAGGAUAUAGCUUCAGUUAAAGUGCAGUGGAGAGGUCAGACCGUGGAGGAGGCUACUUGGGAUAUCGAGUGGGAGAUGCGGAGCAGAUAAUCACACCUAUUUGAGACUCCAAGUAUGUUUCUAGACUCGUUCGAGGACGAACGUUUGUAUAAAAGGGGGAGGAAGUAACAACCCGACCGAUCGUUUUAUGAGUUAUAGCCCCAUUUCCCUCAUUUCUGAUUCCUUUUGUGUUCUUCAACUGUAUUGUAUCGUAUCGUGUUGGUUGGUUCGGGUCCGGAGUGGUUUCGAAGUGGAAUGAGACACUUAGUCUCCUAUUUAGAAGCUUAAGUCGGAAAAGUAGACCGGAUGUUGGCUUAUGUGUAAAUGACCUCAGAUUUGAAUUUUGAUAAUUCCGUUAGCUCUAUUAGGUGAUUUUGGACUUAUGAGCGUGUCCGGAAUGUGAUUUGGAGAUCCGUGGUAGAAUUAGGUAUGAAUCGACAAAAGUUGGAGUUUUGGCCGACAGUGGAAAUUUUUAUAUCGGGAUCGAAAUAGAAUUUCGGAAGUUGGAGUAGGUUCGUGAUGUCAUUUUUGACUUGUGUGCAAAAUUUAGGGUCAUUCGGACAUGAUUUGAUAGGUUUCGGUGUCGUUUGUAAAAUUUCAAAGUUUAGAAGUUCUUAGGCUUGAAUCCUAGGGUAAUUCAGUAUUUUGAUGUUGUUUUGAGUGUUCCGAAGGUUCGACUAAGUUUGUAUGUUGGUAUAUGACUUGUUGGUAUGUUUGGUUGAGGUCCCGAGGGGCUCGGGAUUAUUUCGGAUGGUUAACGGAGAGUUUAGAACUUGGAAAAUGCAGCUGAAGCUGUUGGUUAUGUGUUAACCGCACUUGCAGAGUGGGAAUAGGAGGUGCGAGGCCCACAGAUGCGGAAGUGGAGCAUAGAUGCGGGAUAUUGCCUGGGAAGGAAGAAUCGCAGAAGCGGGCAGGGCCCGCAGGUGCACAUCCGCAGCCGCGGUUGUUUGACCGCAGAUGCAGACUUUGGGCGAGUAAGUGAGAUCCGCACCUGCGAUGAGAAAUACGCAGGUGUGGCAUCGCAGAAGCAUGAUGUGGACCGUAGGUGCGGUUCUACUGGGCAGAAAGUAUAUAAAGGAGACUUCGCAAAUUUUGCUUAUUUCCACCAUUUUUGAAGACGGGUUUUGGAGUGAUUUUGAAGGGAUAUUCAAGGGGUUUCAGUGAGGUUAGUUGCUUGAGCUCUAGUACUCCUAUAUAUAGUGUUUUCUCAUUGUUUAAUCAAUUAAUUCGUGGAAAUUAAGGGUGAAAAUGAGGGGUUAGGGCUAGGAAUUUUGGAGAGUUGAUUGGAGGAUUUGAGGGACUAAAUGGAGUCAGAUUUUGAUAAAUUUCAUAUGUAUGAACUCGUGAGUGAAUGGGCUUUCUAGUUCUGUGUCUUUUGUCGAAUUUCGAGAUGUGGGCCUGGGGGCCGGGUUCGAGUGACUUUCGGGAUUUGUGUCCAAUUAUGUAACUUUUCUUGUGGAAUUGGUUCUUUGGCCUAUAUUGAUUGCAUUGUAUUGCUUUUUGCUAGAUUUGGGAGUUUGGAGGCCGAUUCGAGAGGUAAAAAGCAUUAAAGAGUAGGAUUUUACUCGGAUUGAGGUAAGUAACGGUUGUAAAUCCGGUCCUGAGGGUAUGAGACCCCGAAUAUCGUGUCGUAUGACUAUUUUUGAUAACAACACGAUAGGGGAUUCAAGAAAGGUGAUAAGUUUAUGUUUAUUGUUGUUCUUGUUAUUCUAACGGGUCGGGUUUCACAAUUUAUCUCUUGUUUUUAACUUCUACCAAAGGCAAUUAGUUCUUCGUUAACUAAUUGUUGUUGUUAGGAUUAACUUUCAAGAAUAGGCUUCUUGAAUUCAAUCUAUCUUUAAUUUCUGUCUUCUUUUUCGUUUCUUUAUUUUCUUUUAGCUUCCGCAUAUUUCUUGAUUUUUCUUGUUUUUCUUUAGUAAUUCUUGAAUCCCCUAUCGUGUUGUUAUCAAGUGGUAUUAGAUCAUAGACUAAUCAAGAUUUUAAUCUUGAUAAUCUUGGGAGGUUCUUGAGCAACAAAAAAAAACCAAAAACAAAAAUCAGCCCAAAAAAGUGUUAUUGCUCAUUAUUAUUUUUAGAAUUCAAGUAUUAUUUGGUUUCCAAGUCAAAAAAGAAAACAAGAAGAGGGGAUCCUUGUUCUUGAAGAUUAAGGAAACUGCUUUCCUUAUUCUUGUGGGUUUUGGGUUUCCUAAAAUUCUUUCCUUUUUUUCUACUAACCAAUUCCUAUUCUUCCUAGGUUUGGUCAUUCACUUUUCUUUCUUUUUCUAACUCCAUAUUCUUAUCAUUAAGGGUUGUGACUAGUAAGGUUUAUUAAUAAAUCUAAAGAUUAACGACCAAAAGUUGCAUUGAGUGAAAAAAAGACAAGAGAGGUGAGAAUAUUAGAAGGAAAAAGCCAAAUUUAAGAGAGACAUAAUUCUUCUAAUCUUUGUUCAUGAUGUUUCAAAAAAGUAGUUAUGAAGAAAAGAUGCGAGCUAUAACUCAACAAUUUAAAAAGUCAAACUUACAACAUGCUGAAGGGAAGGAAGACAAUGGUAAAUUUAUUUUUCAAACAAGAGCUAAAGUGAUGUCUGCGAUUUGUGCCCUUAGAAUUGAUAAAGAAUUUGGCUAUAACUCAAUUAGCACUUGUUGAGAAAUUGAACUUGCCUUAUGUUGAGCAUAUUGAACCCUACAUGUUAGGAGGAGCAAAGGUAGAUAAAAGAGUGUUAUAACAAUUUUCUAUUGGAAGGUAUGAAGAUACGAUCUGGUGUGAUGUGAUUUCCAUGAAUAAUUAUCAUAUCUUGUUGGGAAAACCAUGGUAAGACUAUAGAAGAGAUUCAUAAAACAUAAAAAAAAAUAGAUACUCUUUUGAGGUUAAUGGGAGGAAAACUCAUUCUUGGACCUUUGAUUCCCUCACAAAUUUGUGAAGAUGAAAAGACUUUUAAAGAAAAUAUGGAAAAAUAUGAGAGAGAAAAGAAUGAGAGGAGUAAGGGAGUGCAUGUUAACAUCCCAAGAGAGGAAAAAGGAGAGGGUGUGUUGAGUAAAGAGAAUGGGAUGUCAAGGAAGGAAAAUAGUGAGCUUAAGAGGAAAGAAAAGAGAGAAUGCCAUGAGAUAGAAAAAGGCUUUGAGGUAGAGAGAGAGAGAAAAGAGAUGGUUUGAGCGAAGAAAAAGAAGAAAACCUUGGUGAGAGAGAAGAGGAUAAGGAGGAGGAAAAAGUUAGUUUUGUGAUAAAAGCCAAAGAGAGUAUAAGCAAGAAAAAAAAUUCUUUACUUCCUAACCCAUUAACUCUUUCUUAUUUUAGUUCUUGUGAUUUUGAGCAGCCACGUGUUGAAAGACCUUUUGAAAGGGGAGGUUAGGUGCAAGAGAUGGUGGCAAAGGAUCCAAUUGGAUUCUAACAUGAAUUUGGCGAAAUCAAUUCUUGUUGGAUAGUGGAAGAUAAAAGCUUGGUUAAAUUCUUUGUUAUUGAAUCUUUUCUACUUGAUUCUUAUUUACAGGUUUAUGACACGGAGUUCCCUAAAGCCAUUGCUAAGCUGGAAUCAUUGCAUAAAAGAAUACAAGGUGAUGUUGUUCCAUUAGUAAAUAAAUCCAAGUAUGGUAUGUAUAAUUGGUUUAUUCACAUUCUUGGCCUUUCUAGAACACCUAAGGUAUUUUUGGAGGUAAUGAACUAGACUCUUAUUUCUUAUGUUGGUGACUUUAUAAUUUUUGUGGAUGAUAAUAUUUUGAUGCAUAUCAAGUCAUUAACUGUAAUAUCUAAGUUCAAGUGCAAGAGUAAUUUGCUUCCUUUUGAAAUUGAGUAUGACAUAGAUGAUUAUGCAUUCCAACUUGGUAGAAAGAGGCAUGAAAUUUAUGAGAAGAGACUUACUAAUGAGUUAAAUGUUCUUUAUUCUCUCAUUCAAGUGCCUAAUGAGUUUUCAUGUGAUAAAUUGCUAGAAUGUAAGUUUUGUUGUUUGAUGGGAAAUUAUUCCUCUAGUCAUAUUGAUUGUGAGCCUAUAAAAGUGCUUGCUUCUAGUAAAGAGGAUAUGCAUGAUUAUUGUGACAAUAGUGAUCAAAUACUCUUUCAUGAACCUAUCUGUGACUCUUUCUGUGACAGUGUGAGCAAUUAUGUAGAAUCCAUUGAUUUUGCGAAUAUUAUUGGGGAAUGUUAUAAUCAUGAGUUCGAAUAUAUUAAAAAAUUUAUUUUGGAAUUUAUGGGUUCUUCUGACCUUUCUGAGAAUUUAUGUGCUUCUUUGAAUAACUUAAAUGUAGAAGGAUCCAUGGGAUUUAUAAUUGAUACUUGGCUAUAUCAUAAAAGUGUCUUAUUUGAUACAUGUGGUAGAGAUACUUGUUUUAAAUGGAUGCGUGAUCAAUCUUUUGUAAUUUCAUUGUCAUGCACAUUUUUUGACUACCUUAAGAGAGGUUUUUAUGGGACAAAUCUAAAGUGGCAUAAAUUUUAUUGGGAUGAUAAUGUCCAUAUGCUUUAUAAAGGAGUAUUUACACCUAUUAGGCUUAAUUGGGUUAAGUGGACACAUGGUCACUAUCUUGUUUUAUUCUUACCAUUUUUUCAUAUUAGUGGAUGCCAUUUUCUAGUGCUUGUCUUCGAUUUCUUGCAAGGUCGGAAUUCGAGGACGAAUUUUCUUCAAGAAGAGGGGAAUGAUAGCAUCCUAGGAAGCUCAAAUUUAUUCAAGGACAAGGAUGAAGCUUUGGAAUCUCAAAGAGGGCCUUUAACAAGAUCUCAAGCUAAAAAGUUGCAAAACAAGGUCAUUGGACUUUAGGAACGAUCAAAGAAGUUGUUAGUUGGGAGGAAGAGCUUAAGGAUAAAGGAUAUGAGUUAUUUAGGUGUUAUAAUUAUUUUAUUGCUCAAAUUCAUGUCCAAUAAGAGGUGGAUUAGAUCUCAAGAAACAUCCUCUGAAGAAGGUCCAAAUCAGGCCACUGUUGGACCAAUUUAAAACCUAAAAUGUGUCCAAACUUGCAGCCCAUGAAGUCCUACAUAAAGCCACAUUUUUAUAGCAUAAAAAGGACUUACUUGAUGUCCAAGAAUGGUACAAUAGUCGUGCUAGAUGUUAAGUGCAAGUUGGUUCCAAGUUGCUUGCAAAUUUCCUUCAAGAUUUCCAAGAUUUUCAAGAUUCUAUCCAAGAUUGGUUUGAGACUUAUUUCCAUAUAUUAUGGGACUAUAUUUAUUGUUUUCCUAGUUCGUUAAGGUUAUGUUUUUCUUUUUCUAAGAUUUUUGGAAUGACUUUCCAAGAAUGACUUGGUGUUUGCUUCCUAGUAUUUUUCUUUUCCUACGNNNNNNNNNNNNNNNNNNNNNNNNNGUGAUAAAUUUAGGCUUAUUGUUGUUCUUAUUAUUCUAAAGGGUUGGGUUCUCUUGUUUUUAACCUCUACCAAAGGCGAUUAGUUCUUCGUUAUUGUUGUUGUUAGGACUAACCUUCAGGAAUAGACUUCUUGAAUUCAAGAAACUCUUUCUUGAAUUCAAUCUAUCUUUAAUUUCUGUCUUCUUUUUCGUUUCUUUAUUUUCUUUUAGCUUCCGCAUAUUUUUUAGUUUUUCUUGUUUUUCUUUAGUAAUUCUUGAAUCCUCUAUCGUGUUGUUAUCAAUUUUAGAGGUGACGCACAUGAUAGGUGAAGGGCGUGUAGGCGUGCACCGUAGGGAUUGUGACUUGGUCCAUCCCGUAAGACUGUGGAAUCAAUUAGUCUACUGUUUAAUACACGUUCCCUCUGUUUCAUGGAAAUUGACUGUACUUCAUGCUAGAAAUCAUGUUUAGACCUUAUAUUAUCUUUGUUGAGACCCGUGAGGUCGUGUACUUACUGAAUUACCUGCUACUUGCUGUUUUGUUCUCAGUCAUGAUAUUACUUGCGUAUUUUACCUCCAUCCCUUCAUAUUUUAUCAUUGAUACAUGUUAUUAUCCUCGUUUGGGCUAAAUUCUAUAUUUUCUGAGAGCCUGAGGGACUGGUGAGGUUAGUGACUGAGAUAGGGUCUGAGUGUCGAGCUGAGAGCUAUAUGAUUGUAUAUGGAUCGAAUUGCACACCGCAACGAACCUCAAGUCUAUAUAUGUAUAUUGGAUCGGGUUGCACGCUGCAACGAGCCUUCGGGAUGAUUAUUUACAUUGGAUCAAGUUGCACGUUGCAACGAACCUUAUGGCUGUUUAUAUAUUGCAUCGGACUGCACGCCGCAGCGAUAUAGCGUUUGGGCUAAAAGGCCCCUUCGGAGUCUGCACGCCCCCAGUGAGUAUAGGUACCUAUUAAGUGUGAUUAUUGAGGGCUGAGAGCCGAGUGAUUGAGCUAUUGAGAUGAACGGAGUGAUUGUGCCCUUGAGAGGCUGUACUUGCUUUCAGUUAAUUAUUGCACUUAGUUGUUAUUUGUCCUUGUUGUACAAAUUUCUGGAUAACUUGAUACCUAGUUUACUUGUACACGAAAUGAUGUGAUCUAAAUUGAAGAAUUUGAAAAUAAGACUCUUCUUACUUGAAAGAUACUGAGAUAACUGUAUUUGUAUAGCUCGUCACUACUUCUCAAUUCCUUAUUUAUUUCUGUUAUUUACUGAGUUGGAAGUACUCACGUUACUCCCUGCACCUUGUGCGCAGAUCCAGGUGAGACCGAUCGCAGGGAUCAUUGAGCUUGUGCAUAGUUGACUGCUCAGAGAUCUACGAGGUAGCUGACAGUGUCUGCAGCCCUUGGCUCUCCUUCCAUCGUUAUCUUUCUUCCUAUUUUAUAGAAAUUGACGGAAAUAGUAAACCUUGAUUAUAGAACAGUUGUAGAUGUUCAUUACUUAGUGACACCCUGAUGUCGGGUUAUUUAUUUCGGCAUUUUGUUUCGAGUUGAACUUAUUUUUAAUGAAAUUUCAGUAUGAAAAAGGCAUUUAUCUAUCUUUAAUGAAAUAUCGAAUUGUUUUUGGGGGUGUGUCGGCUUGCCUAGUUCCACGAUAGGCGCCAUCACGAUCGGGUUUAGUUUUGAGUCGUAACACCAACCCUCGCACCUGCGCUUCCAGUCCAAUCCACUCUUGCCCGCAUCUGCGAGCACCUCUUCGCUUGUGCAGGACCGCACCUGCGGGCUCCCCACCGCAGGUGCUAAAACACCAGAACUAGGCAAACUUCAGCAAUCCUUCAAACUACAAACUUGUUCCGUUAAUCACCCGAAAUCAACCCGAAGCCCUCGGGACCUCAACAAAACAUACCAACACGUCUUAUAACAUCAUAAGAAAUUAGUCAAACCUUCGAAUCACUCAAAACAACAUCAAAAUAUCAAAUUACCCCCGGAUUCAAGCCUAAGAACUUCUAAACUUCUGAAUUCCACAAACGACGUCAAAACCUAUCAAACCGCGUCCGAAUGAUCUCAAAUUUUGCACACAAGUCAGAAAUGACACCACGAACCUACUCCAACUUCCGAAAAUCUGAUCCGACCCCGAUAUCAAAAUUUUCAUUGCCGACCAAAAUCGCCAAAAUUUUAACUUUCGCCAAUUCAAGCCUACUUCAACCACGGACCUCCAAAUCACAUUUCGGACGCGCUCCUAAGUCCAAAAUCACCUAAAGGAGCUAACGUAACCAUCCAAAUUCAAAUCCGAGAUCGUUUACACAUAAGUCAAUAUCCAGUCAACUUUUCCAACUUAAGCUUCCAAAUAAGAGACUAUGUGUCUCAAUUCACUCCGAAACCACUCUGGACCCAAACCAACUAACCCGAUAUAUCAUAAUAUAGCUGUAGAACACAAAAAAAAAAGUAGAAAAUGGGGGAACGGGUCUAUAACUCUCGAAACGACCGGUCAGGUCGUUACACUUUGAUUCCUUUGUUUAGUUUAUAAUUACUUUGAUUUUGUUAUUGAAUUUAAAUUUUAUUUAAUGGUAUAGUUCAUCGACUUUCAUUGCUAUUAUUGACUUUUUUGUGACUUGUAAAUAUACUGUGAAAUUCAUCUUUUCAGUUUUUACACUUUGAUUUUGUUAUUGAAUUUACAAGUUUUGGCUCGGAAAGGGAAGGAAUCAGACAUUACGGAGCAUGACUCUUUUCUCUUAGUUAAUGUCCUGUGAACUUGAUCUGAUAUUUUUUAUUUUCACGGCUAAACAGAGAAUACUUCUCAUUUCAACUACUUUAAUCUGACUUUGAUUCCUUUGUUUAGUUUAUAGUUACUAUAAUAUUGUUAUUGAAUUUAAAUUUAUUAAACGGUAUAGUUCAUCGACUUUCGUUAUUGAUUUUUUUGUGACUUGUAAAUAUACUGUGAAAUUCAUCCUUUCAGUUUUUCACUUUGAUUUUAUUAUUGUAUUUAAAUGUUCUGGCUCGGAAUGGAAGGAAUCAGACAUUACAGAGCAUGACUCUCUUCUCCUAGUAAAUGUCUUGUGAACUUGAUCUGAUGUCUUUUAUUUUCCCGGCUAAACAGAGAAUACUUCUCAUUUCAACUACUUCCAUCGACCUUGAUUCCUUUGUUUAGUUUAUAGUUACUUUGAUAUUGUUGUUGAAUAAAUUUAGUUAAUGGUAGAGUUCAUCGACUUUCGUUAUUGAUUUUUUUGUGACUUGUAAAUAUGCUGUAAAAUUCAUCCUUUCAGUUUUUCACUUUGAUUUUGUUAUUGAAUUUAAAGGUUCUGGCUCGGAAUGGAAGGAAUCAGACUUUACGGAGCAGGACUCUCUUCUACUAGUAAAUGUCUUGUGAACUUGAUCCGAUAUUUUUUAUUUUCACAGCUAAACAGAGAAUACUUCUCAUUUUAACUACUUUCAUCGACUUUGAUUUCUUUGUUUAGUUUAUAGUUACUUUGAUAUUGUUAUUAAAUAUAAUUUUUUUAAUGUUAUAGUUCAUCGACUUUCGUUACUGAUUUUUUUUUGUUACUUGUAAAUAUACUGUGAAAUUCAUUCUUUCAUUAUUUUCACUUUGAUUUUGUUAUUGAAUUUAAAGGUUCUGGCUCGAAAUGGGAAGGAAUCAGACAUUACGGAGCAGGACUCUCUUCUCCUAGUAAAUGUCUUGUGAACCUGAUCCGAUGUUUUUUAUUUUCACGGCUAAACAGAGAAUACUUCUCAUGUCAACUACUUUCAUUGACUUUGAUUCCUUUGUUUAGUUUAUAGUUACUUUAAUGUUGUUAUUGAAUUUAAAUUUUGUUUAAUGGUAUAGUUCAUCGACUUUCGUUAUUGAUUUUCUUAUGACUUGUAAAUAAACUGUGAAAUUCAUCCUUUUAGUUUUUUCACUUUGAUUUUGUUAUUGAAUUUAAAGGUUCUGGCUCGGAAUGCGAAGGGAUCAGACAUUAUGGAGCAGAACUCUCUUCUCCUAGUAAAUGUCCUGUGAACUUGUUCCUGUUUUUUGUUUUCACCGCUAAACCGAGAAUGCUUCUCAUUUCAACUACUUUCAUCGGCUUUAACUCCUUUCUGUAGUUUAUAGUUACUUUGAUUUUGUUUACUGAAUUUACAUUUGUUUAGUUUCAUCGACCCUCAUCGCUAAUUAUUGAUUUGUUGUGACUUCUAAAUGUACUGUGAAAUUCAUCAUUUCAUUAUUUUUAUUUUCAUCUCUAACUAUGCUCGGCUAAUUAAGAUUGCUAUUAUAUAAUUUUCUUAAGCAAAAUUAUGUUUCAUUGUUGCUUGUAAUUAAUCAUUGUUCGAUUUGAUUAAUCAUAAAAUUUCACUUUAUUAUAAGAAGGCUCACUUCUGUUCUCCAAAUGGUAUUAACGAACAAUAAUUAUCUAUAGGCGCGCGCUACACAUAAAGCCUAUAUGUACUCAAUUGUAAUUGAUUGGAAUCUGAGUUGUUAUAUAGAGCGUUUGAUUACAUCUUUAGCUUUGGUUAAUUUAGAUUGUUUUUCAGAUCUCUUUGUUAGUAAACUUAGGUGCCAAAGAGCCUAAAGUCUCAAAUAUUGUAUUCACAAUGGCUUGAUAAGAUCUCGUCUAUGAUAAGUUCAAUAUCAAGUUACUGUCAAUACACCAUCAUAAUCCCGUUAAAAGAGACUGUGAAUCCAAUUAAAAAGUUCUGCCAUGAAUUACCUUAUUAGUUUAUCAGAUUUACAAUAUUAAUCUAUAUUGUGUUUGUCCCCCGGGGUAUUAUCCCAGUUUGAAUUAUCACUUUAUCUCUUUCAUCAUUAACAUACUAAUCCCUACUUAUUCGUUCUUGGUUUGAAAAACAGAUAGGGAACUUGCUGCCAAUUGCUCUAUAUGAAAUUACUUACGUCAGAGGCCCUUUUCCGAAGAAAUAUUUUAGUGAUAAAUCCUUUCCUGCUAUAGGUAUCCUUUUUCAGUUAAACCUAUCAUGUUAUCAGUCUCUUUCUGUUAUCUCUGAGUUAAUUCUGUCAAUGCUUAUUUCAUAAACAGAGAGAGAAAAAAAAAACAUGCCCAUGUAUGCUGAUUCACGCCAACUGAUUGACUUGAUGGAAAAAGGCAUGUUUCUCUUUGCUAGUCUAUCAUCCUCUGUGUAAAACUUUAUGGUCUGCCCUAUCAGUUGUGUUUCUUUGUUGUCCGUAGGAGUUUAUGAUGCAUUCAAGAAUAUAUGGCAUGAUAUUAGGACCAAGCUAAAAAAUAGCCGUCCUAUGUUAAUUUUAUAUCAUUUCUGAAACUAUAAUCCUAAAGCUUCAGGAUGACUGAUGCAGCUGGUUAUUUGUAGUUUCUUUCUGUUAUUCAAACUCCAACAUGCAAGAACUGUUGAUAACUGUCAAUCUUGGACUGAAGAAAGGGACACCAUGCAAGUUUAUCUCAACCAAUGAAAUAACACCCGAUCAGACGAGGUAGUCAUAUUGAUAUCAUGAAAUUGUUACCCUGGUUUUCAUCUCAUGCAGUUGAUUUUGGAUAGCUAGAACCAUUUAGAUAAGAAAUACCACUGUUUCAGGAGUUCUGCUUGUAAAAUGGUCCAUACAUUGAUUCAGUUGAUGAGAACUUUGGAUAAGAUGCCAGAGGAGGUAAAGUUUUAUGGUACUUUUUAAAUACAGGCUUCAUUAUUCAUUAUCAGUUCAUGUUUUAUUUUUUUGUAAAUUAAUCUUGUUUACAAUAUCAAAUUCUUUUCCUCCAUUUUUUCUCAGCAAAUAAUACUGAUAUGCCCUUCACUCAACUUUUGUAGCCUUUCCUCUCUUUCUUUACAUGUAUGAUUUUAUCAAGAUUGGUACCAGAUAUUUUUGGCGUGCAGCCUGGUGAUUAUGAGCCUCCUUUCUUUAGAAGCUGCAGUGAAGAGGAAGAUUUCAAUCCAUGGACCAAAAGUCCUUUAAAAAUGGACGUCGGCAAUGUUAACAACAAGCAUUUUGUAUUAGCUCUCAAGGUAUGGGGCAGUUAUUGCAGGAAGGAUAUAGUAGUUUUCAGUUAGAUGUUCAACCAAUUCACAUUCUGUGGUUUUUUCUUAGCUUAAGAGCAUGCUUGAUCCCUGUGAGGAUGAGAAUGAUGAUAAUCAAGACAGUAGUGUGAGCUUGGGAGCUGAUUCCUUCCCGGGAGAUGACUGUGAGGUAUAACAGUUUUCUCCUUGCGUUGGUACUUCAUAAAUUUUUUUGCAUGGACUAAAAUCUGCGUAAUGGUGACGAUUUCAGGUCAGUCACUCUGAUAUUGAUUAGUAGUACAUAUAUCUGUACUUUAUUUAGUAUAAUAGCUUUGCAUUAUUUUUGAAUGAUGUAUCCUAAUAUGUUAUUUAUGGUACGUUGACCAUUUUCCGAAUUUACACAUUGUUGGUUUCUAAUUUCUCUACUCCGAAAUCACUUGCUAUUAUAGCUAACACCUAACAGGAUCCUGUUACAACACAAGAACUAGCUUUGAUAAAUUCAUAGAGAGGUUUAGGCUGUAAUUUCAAAGUUAGCAAGUUCUGCCAUUAUUUAUCUUGCAAGUUUAUCAUAUUUAAAAAUGUGAUAUCUGCAUUGUGUUUGUCUUUCAGGUAGUUUUACUAGUUUGAAUUGCUAGUCCUAAAUGGUUUUGAAUUCUUACUUUAUGUCAUGUGUCAUUUACAUAGUUCUUCUUUGGUCCUAAAAACAGACGAGGAACUUGCAGGGGCGGCUCAAGGUGGAGGCUAGUAGCCUUUGUUUUAGGCCCCCUAAAUUUUGGGGUCCCAAAAAUAUUUUUAGUUGUGCAUUUACUAUCUUAUUUUCGUUUAGACAAUAUUGAAGUUUAUAGAAAAAGAAAAAGAAUACAAAAUCCUUAUAAAAAUGGAAAGAAAGUCUAUCUAUUUUUUAACAAUAGAAAUAUUUUAGAACUUUGAAUCAAGAUACUCAAAUUUUCAUAUUGAUAAAUAACAUCUUUUACAAUAAAAUCCUAGGUAACGGAUUGUAAAUACAUGGAUAACGUCUUAUUAACUUGAAUUUUCUUGUCAAUGUGAAUAUUAAUAUUAUAUUUUAUAAGAUAACUACACUAUAGACAAAAAGAAAGAAAUAAAGAAAGAAAUGUAAUAUUAAUACUAUAUUUUACAAGAUAACUAUACUAUAGACAAAAAAGAAAAAAACUAGGUCCCUUAUUAAAAUUUGGCUUUAGGCCAUGAGUUUUAUUGAGAGCCUUUGGGAACUUGCUGUCAUCUGCUUCAUACAAAUUUGCUAACGUUAGAGGCCUCUUUUCGAAGAAAUUUAAGUCUGUUCCAACUCGAGGUAACCUUUUUCUGCUAAGCCUGUUAUGGUAGCAGUCCCUUUCAAUUCUCUGAGUUAAUUCUCUGCUAUAACAAUUCUUUUCAUUUGUCGGUGUGUUCGAUGCAUUGCAGAAAUAUUUUAAAAGAUAUUUGUCUUGGGUGUGUGAAACAACACGAGCCAAUGGAUGCUGAUAACUAAAAUAUGCGGACAACCUGUUCAUCUAGUGAUCUCCCUUUGAGUGGAUCCAGCCUCACACAUGCUAUACAAGAGAGACCAUCAAUCACACAUGAGAUUAGCACAGCAGUAACGUCCGUCUGGCAUCUUCAAAGAAGCUGCGAAGUCCAUCCCGAAGUUAUUUCCAGUUCUAGUUGUCAAGAGCAGGGAGGAUUUCUACAAUAUGGUGCCCGAACAAGAUGAGGCCUCAGAUGCAGUCUUUAUCCAACAGGAUGUGACUUUAGACGAUGAGUUACUGCUCCAAUUGAAGAUCUUUGCGCUACAACAUGACAACCUUUAUGUCCUUCCAAGAAAGACGAAGGAGGUUAAAGCACCCGUCGCCCAAGUCAAUCAUGCUGGCAUAGGAAUAUUUUUCCUAACGACAGACAUCUUCAUAACUAGCUUAGCAUUUCAUACGUGGGUUAAGUAUGGUUCCACUAUAUAAUUGGAUGGUGCUCUAAGUCCAUUACUUCAUUCAUUAGCUAAAUUGGCUAAAUUGCGUUUGAAGUGAAGUUCUAAGAGUAGAUUCAAUAGAUUCUCUCGACAAUUGAAGGUUUGAAAUAAUUGGUGUACAUUUGGUAUAUGAAUUGCAAACUGCUAUCCGUUGUUAUAGUGCUAUGGGCAAUCUACUCUCCUCCUUCCUACCUUUUUGAAUGAAAGAUUACUUUUCUUGUUUCUGUGUCUUUUGACUACUACACUGUUACAAGCCAUUAUAUGCUCCACAUCGUACGUAUCAAUGUCAAAGUAUGCCUCAAAAUUUAAUUGCAGCAAUGUCAUAGGCCUCUGCAGCUUCUUCUUAGGUACCUACAGAAUUGAUCCAAGAGUUUAACUUUUAUAGUGUAAAAGGGACUACCACAUCACCUAAAUGACACUAGAAACAACCGUUCUUAAAAAGUCAAAUUAGUAACUUGAAAAUAAGGUAGGUAACAAGUCACAAUAGUAUAAAGCACAUGAUCGUAUAAAAAGAAAUUUGUGUCGUGUAUAAGUUAAAUCCUUGAUCCAAUGAGAUUGAAACGCAGCUCCACUGAAAAGUCAGCCAAGUAUAUGCAGGGGCAGUUCUCAUACAGGGGAAAGUGUAUAACAAGACAAAGAUAAGGGAGGAAAAACAGCAGAAAGAGAGAGAACCAUAUUUAGACUUAGAUUAGGCAGUACAAAGUGAAUGAUUCCCAUUAUAAAAGACAGCCUCAUGAGUAAAAGCCAGCCUUGCUGACAUAAAGUUCUCUACAUGCUCUUGUUGGCUCGUGAUCAGCCUUACUACAAACUUUAAGACUUGCCAUUUUUUACUAACAGAAAAGAUUUAAAAAAAAAUUAUGCCUUUAUAAUACUGAACAAUCCUUAUUAAGAGUUUUAAGUUGAAUCUAAGCGCACACUUUACACAAUAAAAUUACAUUAUCUCGUAUGAGAAAAGGAAUCACAGAGCUAGUAGUCAAAUUCACUCAGUAAAUCUCCCCAAAUAAAGGUACUUGUUCCCAGCCACUCGGCCGAUCCGAGCUUUCCAUCUUUCGUACUGAUGGUGUCUGCUAAAGCGAAGAUCAACAAGGGCGAUUUUCAAUUUUAGUAACAACAGAACUUCAUUUCCAAUGCUAAAGUUGCCUACUGAAUUGUAGUGAGUAUUUUCCUUGUCACCCCUCGAUACAUUGAAGCUCCUCUUGAAAAAUUACUACUCUUCCUGCAAAAAUUUGGACAAAUCAAAUGAAUACGAGUACUAAUUAAGUGCGGGAAUUGAAGCAGCAACAAGCCUACCUUCUUAAUUGAGCUACAUAUUCUUGUCGUGUCAUGUUUUUCAUUUUCCUACUGCGUUAGAGGUUUUAAAAAAAUUAUAUGACAGCAUAAACAAACAAAAUACAGUUGAUAAAUAAUCUUUAUAUACUACUGCAUACCGGGAAAUUUAUGUGUGUUGAGAGUCCCUAGUACUUCAGUGCUGCCAAAUCAUAUGAUCUUGCAGCUUUUUCUUCCACGUCAUACCCACCUAGAUUUAUGAUAUUUAUGAUCAUCUGGUUAACAACAAGAUAGACAUAUACAGUCACGGCUCAAUCAUUUCACAGAAUAUACAACGUAUACAGAAAUUUAAAUUAAGAUUUACCUAGAUAGACUGAAAAAACCGACAUGCAUCCCCAACAAUAAUCAUGAAGGAGGAGAAAAGAGAAGCAAGUUUGUA